rnacentral:lncRNA from 1 species
UAAUGUGGUGGCUUCUCUCCCUUAGGUGGCUUGCCAACUGGGGUUGGUGGCUUGUGUUCAGGAAGUGGUUUCUCUCCCAUGGGAGGUUUAGCAAUUGGGGUUGGUGGCUUGUGUUCUGGGAGUGGCUUCUCUCCCUUGGGAGGUUUAGUAGGUGACUUGUGUUCUGGAGGUGGCUUCUCCACCGGAGGCUUGUGCUCCGGUGGUGGCUUCUUGGUUGGAGGGGGCUUGGGGUAAUCAGCAAGAGAUGGGGUGGUGAGAACCACCAGUCCAAGGAACAACACUAGCAAGUAUGUGGGAGACAUUUUUGAGUUUGGGCUGAUCAGAUGAUGCAAAACUAAAGCAUUACGUGACCUUUUAUAGCAUGUAGCUCCCAAUACCCACUAAGUAUUGUGGGGUCCAUUUGUGCCCUACGGGGUUGAAAACUUAGACAAUUGGGCAAGGACCCACCUGACUAUGGAGGACUAGUGAGGUGUGAUCAUAGCUUUAGGAUUUUUCUUCCUCUGCAGCCGUCGUGCCGUUGGCAUGAUUUUCUUAAUCUUAAAUAAAGGCAUAGUUAUAGAGUUGUUUAAUCUCUAAAUGGGAUUUUAUAUAUAUCUUCAGAUAGCCAUUAAUAUAUUUGAUGAAGAAAGAAAGACAAGUGCAUACAACAUGUAUACGACUAGCUUUCAUGGAGUUCAUUUAUGAUCAGUUUUCCUGUACAUGUAAACCAGGAUCAUAUAUAUGUUUCUGUUCCACAACUAUUUUGGAAUCUUGUUUAUCAGUUUUUAUCAUUAUAAUGUCACAUAGGCUGCCAACUUGGGCGCUAAAAGAACCAGUUGGGCUAGUUCGUUUCAGAAUUUCAAUGUGGAUUCAGGAAUUGUUUUGUAAGAUAUGCGAAAUAGUAGAGGGAUGAAUAGUGUUUCAUUAAUAAAAGUGUCCUGUAAAUUAGAAGGUGUCAUAGAAACUAUAAUCAAUAAAUAACUUUUUUUCCCCACGGGUGGUGUUUCUUGUGGGGAUCAGUGACUGGUUUAGGUUCACCCAAAAUGAGUUCAGACUAAAAUUGGUUUGAGUCAAUGCCGUGUCUCUUUUUUCCAGAAAUCAACUAUUUUAUGCAUUGAAUAAAUCAUACAAAGAAAAUAUGAACGCCCGCAAAACCUAAACCCUGGUUGCUAACUUUCUAUGUUUCAGUUCUAUUCACGCAAGAAUAUUAGUUUAAGUUUGGGAAAAAUGGCAACUUACCUAGUGAUUACUUGGUUUUGGUUUGCGACUAUUUACGCAACCAACCAUGAGUUUGACUUUAACGUCAUGGGUUGAAGCCUCCUACAGGAAGGGAGAAAGCUCCACAGCUAGCUCCAAAAGAGAAUUAUCACAUUGAUAGCUCCAGAGAUUCCCAAGGGGACUGAAUCAAAGACAAGUUCCUCACUUUUUCUUCUUUUGAGGCCAAAUAUGAACCAAGGAUCACACAACCUCAUUCAACUUCAUAAGUUUGAUUUCAUGCAGUUGAACACUGGGUGAAGGCCAUGACAAGAAUUGAUUCAAAAAUUCUAUCACUCUUUUAAGUAAUGGAAGAUUAUUAUCUCUGAUUGGCAUCACAACAGCACAUGCUCCUAGAUCUUUCUAGACACUCCAUGCAAUGAAAGCACAAUGGAUCUUGUAACGAUAGAAACUAAGCCAUGCUACAGUACUAGAUGAUGAGGUAAAACUAGUAGACACGGGUGGCAGCCUAUAUGGGAGGGACACAAGUCUAAUUGAUUUGCAUUUCAGCAUUAUAGAUAGGUAUGUUUUGGAAGAUUUGUUCUGGAAAUACCGCACCAAGUAGGAUUCUUUUUCUCUUUAGUGGGUCCACUUGCAUGCCAAUUAACGAGUUGAAAAGUAUGAGCACCUACCUCGUGCUCGUGGAACCGAAGGUCAGUGAAGUGGGGCUCCUUUUGGCCUCGUGUAAACUUGAUUCAGAAGUGAAGUUAAUAGUCUUCCAUUCAGAUGGAUACAUGGGAAUUUUUCUCUUUUAUUUAUUUAUUUAUUUUUUUUUUGUGUGUGUAUGUCAAAGGAUAAUGAAUGAAGCGCGUUAGCUUGUUUUCUGACUGGAACCGCAGAUGUCCAAAUUGGAGUUCCUUCAUUUCUUACUUAGGAUUGUUACAUGUAUAAACAAGGUAUAAGAAAUAUGCCAACGUGUCUUGAGGAGUUAUUGAUUAGAAAUAACAAGUCACCCGACUGUAGAGUUCCAAGAUUUGAAUCUUCAGACCCUAUAGCAGCCUCUGGGGUACGUGGCAUCCUAUAGCAUAUUAAUGAAGGCUUUUUCGAUUUAGACUUCACAAUACCAAUUAAUAUGUAUGCACAAAAUGGAGAUGACCCCAAAAAAAACAGAAUCGCCAUAGUUUAUGAGGUUAAGGUGAUUCUCCACUUAAUAUCUACAUUAGCUAAUUAUGUAAAUCAAAUGAACUUCUAUUUUUCCUUUUUUUUUUUGGUUUAUGUCAAAUAGUAGCCCAUAAUUAACCCAACCAUUAGCCUGUUUGAAUUGAUUUCACAUGCACAAUGUUGUAGUAGUUCAUAUUUUGAAUUUUAUUUUUACAAAGGUAGUUAAGGAAAAUGAAGUAUAAUAAUUAUAAAAGCAGACUAUAUACACUACAAUAAUUGUUAGAAUGGUAUCUCAAAUUCUAAUUUAAAAUAUUAUUUUUUGUAAAAGAAAUAUUAUAUAGAAUAUUUCCUAAUUUUAUAAAUGAUUAUAAUUAGAUCUUUAUAAAAUAAGGAAAGUUGGUAAGAAUAUCUUUAUAAAUAUUUUAGGUCAUGAGAGAAAGAAAUGGGAUAAAAAUGUGAUGAAGAGGUGAAAUAAGAGAGUUGAUUAGGAUAUAGAUGUGAAGAAGAAAGGGAUUCAAUAUAUAUAUAUCUUUCAAUUACCACAUUAAAACCCUGUGAACCUUUUAUAUGGUUUACUUUAUUUUUAUAUUCCUCCUUUAAUAUAUUUACAUUAAUGCUUCCAUUGGCACAACAAUAACGAAUUACAAAUACAAGCAACAAGUCCCAUGUUUUAUUACCAAAAGCAGGUAAAAUCCACCUAAUAUAUUACAAUAUAUUCAUCCAAUAUUUUAGACCAAUUCUUCACCAUAAAUAUCAUAAUGUGGCUUUUGUUCUUUCUUAAAUUUAAAUUGAAUUGUCUUAUAUCAAUUUGUUUGUGAUUUUUUCAUUAACUUCACUUUCAUUUGGUUAUCUUUGGUUUUUGAAAAGUAUUAAGGAAUUAAUUAACAAAAUAAUGUUAAGAAAAAUAAUUUUCUCUCUUUUGAUUUUGAUUUUGUAGUAGAAAAAUAUAAUUAAAAUUAUUUAAAAAGUAUGUAAUUUUAAAUUAUUUAAUAUUUAGAUAAAAAAAAUAAGUCUAAUGAGUUUAAAAUAACAUAUAAAAAUAAUUUAUUUAUUUUAAAUUUAUUUUUUAUUUUCCAUUAUGUUCUCUUUCUCUUUUACUUUUUCAUAUUUUUUCUUACGAAGAAUCAAACACAACCUCAUAUUAUAUGUCAAGUGUUUGUCUAUAUUUGAGCAAUGUUAGAUACGGCCAUGGAUUCAUCAAACUAAACUGAUUUUAAUAGAUACUUCACAAAUUGAUUUAUACACUAAAUCAUUGGAUAGCAAUGAUGCAUUGGAAUUAAACGUAGGAUGAAGCUCGAAGAACACUGUUUGUGUAACAACAUAUUUAUGAAAUUAUGCAAAGGAUGAGCUUCGGGGUAGUAGUACAAGGUCAUUAAUGGAGAGCCGUGUUAAACCUUGAUUGUGAUUGGAUUCCGUUAUCAGCAACAGCAACCUUGUUUGUAACCUUGAAAGUCAUUCUGUCCACAUCGAAACUCCAAUUUGACGUUUGUAAUUACCAUUCCUGGAGUGUUCCUUGAUUGAAAUUUAAAUAAUAAUUGCGGCCCACAAGGAAUAUUUUCGAUUCUGUGGGAAUUUGACAAGGUUUGUUAGAGAAGACUGGUGACAUGUUGACUUCAAUGGUUCAAAUAGGAGACGUAUGUGGAUUUGGGGGGUUUAAUUGAAACUGAGUCCCUAUGGCUUUUUAAUAUUUGCAUUGAGCAGUCUCCAUGUGACUUCCUAAUUCCCACCAACCCUCCUGUCCAUGCUGUGAAACUAAAUUGUAAUUUAUCAGCCUUUGUCAAUGGUUUCUAAAUUAAAGAUAUAGACCAUGCAUGUACUUUAAUAAAAGCAAAUCUAAAGUGUAGAUAGCAGCAAUGGUGACACCCAAUAUUCUCCAUAAAAUAGAAUUAGAAUAAGCAGUGUUACAUUGUUCAUGAUCACCUACAAGCAUACAAGAACUUCCAUGAAUAACUCAUAGCAAUUGCCAACAGGGCGUCGUAGAGACUCAUACAUAGAACACUAUCCACCCAGAGGAAAGGACAAGACCAGUGCGCUGCAGCUCUUAUUUUUCACAUGUAUACCACCACUCGUAAUAACCAAAUUCACUCAGUUGGGAUAGGUGGGAGAUGGUGGUUUGUGGGGUGGCUUGUGGGGAGGAGUUGGAGGAGGCUUUAUUUUCUGAGGCGGCUUGUAUGAGUGUGCAGGAGGAUGCCCGGGAGUGUGACCAUAAUGUGGUGGCUUCUCUCCCGUAGGUGGUUUGCCAAAUGGGCUUGGUGGCUUCUCUCCCUUAGGAGGUUUACCAAUUGGGGUUGGUGGCUUGUGUUCUGGGAGUGGUUUCUCUCCCUUGGUAGGUUUGCCAAUUGGGGUUGGCGGCUUAUGUUCUGGGAGUGGCUUCUCUCCCUUGGGAGGUUUGCUAAUUGGGGUUGGCGGCUUAUGUUCUGGGGGCGGCUUCUCUCCCUUGGGAGGUUUGCCAAUUGGAGUUGGCGGCUUAUGUUCUGGGAGUGGCUUUUCUCCCUUGGGAGGCUUGCCAAUUGGGGUUGGCGGCUUAUGUUCUGGGGGUGGCUUCUCUCCUUUAGGAGGUUUGCCAAUUGGAGUCGGCGGCUUAUGUUCUGGAAGUGGCUUUUUUCCCUUGGGAGGUUUGCCAAUUGGGGUUGGCGGCUUAUGUUCUGGGGGUGGCUUCUCUCCCUUGGGAGGUUUGCCAAUUGGAGUCGGCGGCUUAUGUUCUGGGAGUGGCUUCUCUCCCUUGGGAGGUUUUGUUGGUGGCUUGUGUUCUGGAGAUGGCUUCUCCCCUGGAGGCUUGUGCUCCGGAGGUGGCUUCUGAAAUGGCGGGGGCUUGGGGUAAUGAGCAAGAGAUGGAGUACUGGUGAGAACCACCAUUCCAAGCAACAAUACUAGCAAGCAUGUGGGAGACAUCUUUGAGUAGUUGUAGCUAAGAUGGCGCAACACUGUAGGCAUUGGGUGGCCUUUUAUAAAGGGCUGGACCCAACAGCCAUAUGACACGUGUCAUGAUGACAAAUGAAGUUGAGGGGAUCCAGAUGGGUCCUACUGAGUCGAAAACUUGCACUAAUUGAUCUGGUGAGAUGACUAUUUCUGUCCUUUUGCCCUUCUCGGCCACCCUGUGCUGUUUUCCUUUUGCACGAUUUUCGUUGCCAAACAAGCAAAUAAUAUUUCGCCAAGAAAGAGGAGAGUGAAUGUGGAAUGCAUCAAGUCCCAUCAAGGAUGGCAGAGAAGAAAUAGAAGAUUGCCCAACUGUGAUAAACAUAGCAUACACGUAGCACCAGGAACUUCAUUUACUUCCAUCUAAUGGAACAUAACAAUCUUCUAAAGUUUUUGCAUGAUUUUGUUAUAUGUCUCUUAGCCUAAAGUUGGAAAUGCGCAACAAAUUUUGUCACUUCUCUAUUUCCCACUGAUGAUGUUAAUUAGCCUUCAUAGAUAUCAUCCUUUCUACAAAGUGCUUCAUUUGUGUGUUAUUGUAAAGUGUAAGAAAAGUAAUUGAACAUGUUCUUUUUCCUUUCAUAGAUGACUUUUGAUGUGCAUUUUAAAAGCAGCGCUGUGAGUCGGUGACCUUGAUUCACACGGAAACUAAGGCUCCUAUAGGACCCACUUUUAGCUGGUUAGGGGUGAAGAAAAUAUCAACUUUUCAGAGUGAUUUAAGUCAAGGCCAAGCCUCACUGUGUCAUUACUCGUGUGAAUUUUAUAUGCACAUACAUACAUAAAUAAAGUAUGAGACCCAAAUAACACCUUCCCUUUACAAACUUAACCCCAGCCGCUCUCUUUCAAUUCUUUUCACACAAGGGUAUUGACUCUAUAAAGGUCAAGAAAAUCAUAAUUUCCUAGGGUUUACAAGGUAAUUGGCUUAAUGCUAAUGUGAAAACAUAAAAGAUAAUAGUAUAUUGUAAGCUAACGAAUAUUCUAUAGUUAUAAUUAUUUGUGAUGUGCAUAAAUAAAUCUUCAUAUAUAUAAUGGAACAAUGAAUAAAGAACCAAUGAAAAAAUACUAUAUAUCAUUGCUUGGCAUUUAAACCGUAUAUGCUGCUCUUUCUAGCUACUCCAUCCACUGAAAGACAACAAGGUAAUCCAUGUUAUAAUGAUAGAAGAUACUGUCUCUAGGCUUUUUGUGAUGAAAAAUAUAAGAUAUGGGUAGGGUUGACCCUUGUAUGUUUGUCCUAUAAACACUUCAAAGUAACAUAUUUUUCUUCUUUAGCAACUCAUAAUGAUGGGGUUCAUUUGCAUGUCACUGAGUUGAAAAGUUGGACAAUUGCCCAUGUCGCCUUCCUCCUAGAUUCCGUAGUUCACGGGAAGGUAACUCAAGUUUGACAUAUUUUGAAUUCUUUUCACUCGGACGUCUUCAUAACCUGACAAAACAAAAAUGAAAAACAGAGGAUUGGUAUAUUAUUCAUGGUAAGCCUCAAAUUAUAGUAGUAUGAGAAAGGAGAAAAAGAUUUUGGGAACUCCAAUCUGGAUAAUUCUCGUUUCUUCUCUUGAAUAAAAAUUUCACUUACCUAACUUCGUUUGGAGAAAUGGCAUAUUUUAAUUUUGUACGUCAUUGCUAAUAAAUGGAGCAAUUUAGCAUGUUUUGUGACUGAAACUGCAAAUGUCCAAUUGGCAUUUCUUCAUUUCCCACUUAGGAUCUGAUCUUGUAGACCAUAUAACGAUAUGUAUCUGUGCAAGCAUUGAAAACUAAUGUGAACUAUGAGGAGUUACAAGCCACUGGACUGUAGAGCGAGUGCCAAGAUUUAAAUCUUCAGGCUCUAUCUGGGUAAGGGGAGGAUAGCGACCUAACCUUUUACCAAAGGCUUAGAAUUUAGACUUUUGGAAAAAAAUUUCUCAUGUUUUGGCUGGAUUUCUUGUGCUUGGCGCAAAAAGGAGAUGGCCUCAAGAAAUAGCAGACUCACUUUUGUUUUCAGCCCUUAAUAAUUCUCCACUGCUUUCCAUAACUACAUGGGUUAUACAUGCAGUCUGCUGCAAUAUUCCAGUUAUAUUUAUUAUUUCAAAGAGGGUGAAUGACUUCACAUGCAAUAUGUUGCAGUAACAACCCAAAUUUUGGCACACCAUCUUAAGAAUAGAAAAGUAUAAUAAAAGAAAUCAAUCAGAGAAUCACUUUGCAUGCAGUUCAUAGAGUUCGCCCAAAAUGGAGCCACAUGUACGGACAACCCCACAAUAGACAAUCUUCUCUAUACAGUAAUAAAAUACAGAAAUGGUUAAUGAAGCUCUGUAUUUCCUUAUCAUAUAUGACCGGUUGAAAACUCAGCAAGUCUUCCUCAAUCACAGACAGUUGGAGUUGCUUCAUCAAAAUCAUGCCUUCAUUACUGGCUUCAUUUUGGUUUCAAUGUCUGUUCUACCCUUAAAUUGGGUCUCUGCUUACUACCGGGAUAUCCUUUAGCGUCCUGCAAUUCUACUAGAUUAAAGAGAAUGACUUAAUUCUGCAUUCUGCCGUCCCUAGUCCAAGUGGUACUAGAAUUGAUGUUUCCUUUAGUGUCCUUUCUUCAUACUUUCAGGUUCUUCCCUUGUUUCAAUAAUGCUGUUUUCCUUCAUGUUUAACCUCUGUUGAACCACUUAAAACAACACAAUUUGCACACCAAUGUUUCUUUACAGAAAAGACUGUUUGCAAAAAUGCACAUGUUAUAAGGUUAAUGGAAGAAUUAAUUUGGGGAUAAGGGACUAGGAUUGGGCCAAUGAAGUUUGGUGUUAAAUUUUGAUUAUGAUUGCUUUUCAUUAUCAGGUACCUUAUAUUUGCUGAUGCUAUCUGGAACUAAAUUCAAAUCAGACAUUAUCCGAUUACUAACAGGACAUAUCAUGUCCCUCUGCAGAGUUUCUAAACUAACAUGUAUCGAAAUGUGGCCCCAAAAGGAAGGCUAGGAAGAUGGAGGAUUUUGUAGGAAUCGACCAGAAUCAGAUGGAAGAGAGAUAGUCCUGUUGACUUUAAUGGUUGUGAUAGGAACAUGCAUCAUUAUAUGAGAAGUUGCAUGAAUUUAUGUAUCCUGUUAUCGUUCCUUGACGAUUUCCCAAUGCAAUUUCACUGUCCACAAGACUAACCUCUCCAUGCAGUCAAAUGAAUUGUAAUUUCUCUAUUGGUACCAGUAGUACAUUUCAUACCAAACAUAUAGUAAAUAUAAAAUAUAAAUAGAUCAAGGAAAUCUGAAUUGUAGAUAGCACUGCAAGUAACACUCAAUAUUCUCUAUAUAUAAUAAAAUAAACAGUGUCACAAUACUCAUCACCCAGUGGCAAGGGAGAAAAACCUACAAUGAGUACUCAAAUCACCAUUCUCAAACAGAAACAUAGCAGUGACUGAUACAUAGAACCUAUAUGCUCACAGGGAAAGAAUAAGAUGACCAGUGCACAGCGGGCAGCAGCUCUUAUUUUACGUACAACUCAAAUCCCAAACUAACCAAAGUCGCUCAGUUGGGAUGGGUGGGAGAUGGUGGUUUGUGGGAUGGCUUCUGGGUAGGAGCUGGUGGCUUCUGUCCCUUUGGUGGUUUGCCUAAUGAGCUUGGUGGCUUGUGCUCCGGGAGUUGUUUCUCUCCCUCGAGUAGGUUUCGAGUCUUGUCAGAUGGCUUGUGUUCUGGUGGUGGCUUCUCUCCCUGGGGUGGUUUGCCGAAUGGGCUUGGUGGCUUGUGUUCGGGGAGUGGCUUCUCUCCCUGGAGAAGGUUACGAGUUUUGUCAUAUGGCUUUUGUUCUGGUGGUGGCUUCUCUCCCUGGGGUGGUUUGCCGAAUGGGCUUGGUGGCUUGUGUUCGGGGAGUGGCUUCUCUCCCUGGAGAAGGUUACGAGUUUUGUCAGAUGGCUUGUGUUCUGGUGGUGGCUUCUCUCCCUGGGGUGGUUUGCCGAAUGGGCUUGGUGGCUUGUGUUCGGGGAGUGGCUUCUCUCCCUGGAGAAGGUUACGAGUUUUGUCAGAUGGCUUUUGUUCUGGUGGCGGCUUCUCUCCCUGGGGUGGUUUGCCAAAUGGGCUUGGUGGCUUGUGUUCGGGAACUGGCUUCUCUCCCUUGGGAGGUUCAGUUGGUGGCUGCUGUUCCGUAGGUGGUUUCUUCACCGGCGGCUUGUGCUCCGGAAGCGGCUUCUCUACCUGGAGAAGCUUACGAGUUUUGUCCGAUGGCUUGUGUUGUGGUGGUGGCUUCUCUCCCUGGGGUGGUUUGCCAAAUGGAGUUGGUGGCUUGUGUUCGGGGAGUGGCUUCUCUCCAUUGGGAGGUUUAGUUGGUGAUUGGUGUUCCGUAGGUGGUUUCUGAAGUGGGGGAUGCUUGGGGUAGUCAGCAAGAGACGAGGUAGUGAGAACCACCAGUCCCAGCAGCAACACUAGCAAGCAUGUGGAAGACAUCUUUGAGUUCAGGCUGAGAUCUGUGCAAGGAUAACAGAAUUAGGUGGCCUUUUAUAGAGGCCUGGACCCAACACCCAUAUGACACGUGUCAUGCACUCAUGGUGACACAUAAUUCUAUGGGACCAUUUGGGUCCUACAGAAGUUGCAAAGUUGGACUACUGAGGUGUGAUCACAACUUUUGUCCUUAUUGCUUUCUCUGCGGCCAUUGCACGAUUUCCUUUAGCAUCAUUUUCUUGGCUAAAUAAGCGUAUUAUAUUUGUGGCAGACCGUCCACGUGUCAUAAACAGAUAUAUUAUAAUAAUGUAGUAUGCUUUUCUCCAAUGGAACAUGACACUCUUCUAAGUCUUGUUUUAAAUAUUGUGCAGGAUUACUUUAUACGUUGCAGUUCCAAGUCAAAAUUGGUGGGCAAACGUUGGCCUUUUUUCAUUUCACCUAAGAUUAAUGCUCACCUGGGAUAGGCACUACAUGACUUAUCUGCUCUUUUACUGUAAAGUUGCUUUGUGUAUGAGAUACACCUCCCCUGCACACCCUCAACAUUCGUUGCUCUGUUUUCCUUGUGUCCAGACGAGGAUAUUAAUUGGAGGCUGACAAAACGACUGCUAGCCCAGGAUUUACAAGGUCCUGGUUUGAGGCUUCGGUGAAAGUAUUUUUGAAAAGACACACAUAGAGAUAGUGCGUUUGGUGCAAUGCAGCACUGUGAGCCAUUCUGACGCGUUCUUAAUUUCAAAACUAAUGAAUGCUUCAAAAUUUUAAGAAGUGACAUUUCCAAAUAUUUGAGUUCGUUUAAUUGAACAUUGGAUAACUAGUGAUCAUAGAUUAUUAUCUGUGCUUGGCACUAUAAGAGGGUAUAUGCUUCUUUUUCUGGCCCCUCCUUCAAGGGAGGAGGGACAAUGUGAUCUGUAACGUUAGAAGCUAUUCCAUGUCAUCUUUGGGCUCAGUUCAAAACUAAAAGAUAAUGGGGGGGGGGGGGGGGGGCAUAUCAUUUUAUAUUUCUUCUAGAAGGUUUGUUCUGGAAAUAUUUCACAGGAGCAUAUCUUUUUCUUCUAUUACGUCAUCCGCAGCCUCCAAUAGGUCGGUUAACAAGCCACCGAGUUGAAAAGUUGGAAAAAUGGGAACACAGCCCGCCUCUUGUAUUCAGUAGUUAAAUAAAAGGUCACUAGAAGUGAGAUCCCUUUUGGCGUCUUGAUUUUCAAUCCAGCACCUCUGUGACCUGACAAACCAAAAAAACUAAAAAAUAAAAAACAGUACGUGGGUUGGUGUUAAGCAUCAAGACAUGUUAAUGAAAGAAGGUAGAGAAUAGGAUAUUGAAAUCCCAAUCCUGAUAACAUGAUUUUCUUUGCUAACAACCAUAUUAUAUUUUAUCAAGAAAGAGUAAUGCAUGUGGCGUCCAUCAAGACCCAUUAGAGUUCCGCUAAAGCUAUAGUUCUGUCAACGUUAUCAUUUACGUUUCCUCUAGAUAAUGGCAUUUUCCUCUAAAGCUCUUGCACCAUUAGGCUUCAAGUCAAAAUUUCACAUGUGAACUUUGGAAAUUUUCUCCAUUUGCCCCUAAGGAUACAGUUAGAAUUGACUUAAAAUCCUGAUUGAUAUGUACUAUUAACCAAAGAAUAUUGUAUAUAAUAAUUGAAAUAUUGUUGAUUCAUCGUGGAAAUACAUUUUGUAAGGAAAGUUGUUGAGAAUUUAGUAUGCUAUAUGGAGAAAAAAGUCAUGACUUAAGGUUGUGUAUGUAUAUUCUAUAUCAAAUAUUAGGUAGGAAUGUGGGAAAGAGCAGAGUGUAAUGAUAAGAAACAAAGAAAUAUAAGAUAUUCUUGAAAGUGGAAAAUAUAAAAUGGCUAACGAGUCAAAUUUAUGAUGCGUAAGGGGGAUCAUGUCACAUAAGAAAACCAUGGCAUACUAAAGACGUACGUGUGGUAUGGAGUAAUAAUUUUGUUAAAAUAAGUUUCUUGUUGGAGUACAUUAGGUGACUAUUCAUAACGUAUCAAAUUAAAGAGUCAAGUGCAUCAAUGAAGGCAUAUGUAGAAAAUUUGUUUGUGACAUGUACCAUAAAGAUAAGAUUGACUUGAUAGAAUUUAGUCUAAGUAGGAGUUGUUAAAGGUGUCUUAAAUUUCUAAUUGAUGUAUAUUUUUUUCUAAAAAAAUAUUAUAUAGAUAUUUUAAUAAAUGAUUAAUUCUUUGUAAAAAUACUUACAUAAUAAAAAACAUCAUUAAAAAUAUCUUUAUAAAUAUUUUAAGUUACAAGAAGGAAAAAAACCACUGUGAGAUAAUGAUGAACAUGCAACACUGUACCAAGUAAAUAAAAAUGUGAUAAAAAAAAAAGAGAAACACUCGAUAAAGGAAGGCUCGUAUAUAAAGAGUAAUAUUUUUAAUCAUAUGAUAGAAUGAUUUUCUCUCAUUCAUGAAUAUAGGCAAGAUUGGGGAACCAUUAUAAAAUUUUGUACACCUCGUGUAAAUUGAUGUUUGUCUUCAUAUUUUACACCAACAAAUGACAUUGAAGUUGUCAUUGAUAAAAGGGAAAAGGCAUGCCUCCACACCAUGUGCUUGAUUCGAAUGGUUCAAGUUUGAAGAAUUUUCUCCGGAAGAUCUAAAACAUUUUCGCCUUUAAAUUUCAUUUGAUUAUUAAUAUCCGAAAAAAUAGUUAAAUACUCUUUCUAUUUUUGAGUUGUUGAAUUUUUUGAAAGUUUUUAUAUUUGUUAUCAAGAAUUUCUAUUUUAUUAAGGGUGAAUAUUUAUAAAUAAGAUAUUAUAUAAUAUUUGGAUAAGAGAGAAUGGUGGAAUAUAAUAAAGUUUUAAUCCUUCCCAAUUUUGAACCUUUUUUUUUUUUUUUGAUAUAAUCGCCUUUCUCUUGCAAUCCUAUUAUCAGGUACCUUAUAUUUGCUGAUGCUAUCUGGAACUAAAUUCCAAUCAGGCAUUGUCCAAUUACUAAUAGGACAGAUCAUAUCUCUCUGUUUCUAAACUAACAUGUAUCGUAAUGUGACCUCAUAAGGAAGGCUAGGAAGAUGGAGGAUUUUGUGGGAAGCGACCAGAAUCAGAUGGAAGAGAGAUAGCCCUGUUGACCUAAUGGCUGUAAUAGGAGAAGCGUGUGGUUUUAUGGGACUUAACUGAUACUAAACCUGUAUGAUGCUUGGAGUGGUGUUUCUUUCAUUUUGUUAAGAAAAUAUGGCAGCAUACAUGCUUUCAACUGAGUGCAUCAGAGCAUCCAUAACAGAUGGUCUGCAACCCUAGGUGCAUGCCACUUUCUGACUGAUAAUGAAAUUGUCAGGUACCUGGCCUUGACUAAGCUCAACAGCAUCACAUAAAGAGAAGCUUUCAUACUUAGAUUACUGUUUAAAGUUUUUGCUUAUUUGAUUUCUUAAUGCCAUUAUGACAUUAUUGAUUCAAUUCUGCUUCCGAUUUUCGAAGUUCUGGGCAUCUACUGAUUGCAUCAUUAUAUGAGAAGUUGCAUGAGUUUAUGUAUCCUGUUAUUGUUCCUUUGCGAUUUCACUGCUCACGGGACUAACCUCUCCAUUCAGUCGAAAUGAAUUGUAAUUUCUUUACUGGUAGCAGUAGUACUUUUCAUAGCAAAGAUAAUAGAAAAUAUGAAAUAUAAAUAGAAGGAAAUCUGGAUUGUAGAUAGCACCAUAAGUAACACUCAAUAUUCACUACAUAAUAAAUAGACAGUGUUACAUAGGUAGAGAAACCUACAAUGAGUACUCAUCACCAUUCUCAAACAGAAACAUAGCAGCGACUUAUACAUAGAACCUAUAGGCUCGCAGGGAAAGAGUAACAUGAUAAGUUCACAGCGGGUAGCAGCUCUUAUUUUACGUAUUACUCAAAAUCUCAAACUAACCAAAGUCACUCAGUUGGGAUGGGUAGGAGAUGGUGGUUUGUGGGGUGGCUUCUGGGUAGGAGCUGGUGGCUUCUUUGUUGGAGUUGAAGGAGGCAUAUUCUUCUGAGGUGGCUUGUAUGACUCUUCGGCACUCUCUGCAGGAGGGUGCCCAGGGUUGUGACCAGAAGGAGGUGGCUUCUGUCCCUUUGGUGGUUUGCCUAAUGGGCUUGGUGGCUUGUGCUCCGGGAGUUGUUUCUCUCCCUCGAGUAGGUUUCGAGUUUUGUCAGAUGGCUUGUGUUCUGGUGGUGGCUUCUCUCCCUGGGGUGGUUUGCCGAAUGGGCUUGGUGGCUUGUGUUCGGGGAGUGGCUUCUCUCCCUGGAGAAGGUUACGAGUUUUGUCAGAUGGCUUUUGUUCUGGUGGCGGCUUCUCUCCCUGGGGUGGUUUGCCAAAUGGGCUUGGUGGCUUGUGUUCGGGAACUGGCUUCUCUCCCUUGGGAGGUUCAUUUGGUGGCUGGUGUUCCGUAGGUGGUUCCUUCACCGGCGGCUUGUGCUCCGGAAGCGGCUUCUCUACCUGGAGAAGCUUACGAGUUUUGUCAGAUGGCUUGUGUUGUGGUGGUGGCUUCUCUCCCGGGGGUGGUUUGCCAAAUGGACUUGGUGGCUUGUGUUCGGGGAGUGGCUUCUCUCCAUGGGGAGGUUUAGUUGGUGGUUGGUGUUGCGUAGGUGGUUUCUGAAGUGGGGGAUGCUUGGGGUAGUCAGCAAUAGACGAGGUAGUGAGAACCACCAGUCCCAACAGCAACACUAGCAAGGAUGUUGAAGACAUCUUUGAGUUCAGGCUGAGAUCUGUGCAAGGAUAAAAGAUUUAGGUGGCCUUUUAUAGAGGGCUGGACCCAACACCCAUAUGACACGUGUCAUGCACUCAUGGUGACACAUAAUUCUAUGGGACCAUUUGGGUCCUACAGAAGUUGCAAAGUUGGACUAUUGAGGUGUGAUCACAACUUUUGUCCUACUUGCUUUCUCUGCGGCCAUUGCACGAUUUCCUUUAGCAUCAUUUUCUUGUCUAAAUAAGCGUAUUAUAUUUGUGGCAGACCGUCCACGUGUCAUAAACAGAUAUAUUAUAAUAAUGUAGUAUGCUUUUCUUCAACGGAACUUGACACUCUUCUAAGUCUUGUUUUAAAUACUGUGCAGGAUUACGUCAUAAGUUGCUUGUUCCAAGUCAAAAUUGGUGGGCAAACGUUGGCCUUUUUUCAUUUUCCCUAAUAUUAAUGCUCACCUGGGAUAGGCACUACAUGAUUUAUCUGCUCUUUUACUGUGAAGUUGCUUUGUGCAUGAGUUACACCUCCCCUGCACACCCUCAACAUUUGUUGCUCUGUUUUUCUUGUGUCCAGACGAGGAUAUUAAUUGGAGGCUGACAAAACGACUGCUAGCCAAGGAUUUACAAGGUCCUGGUUUGAGGCUUUCACGAAAGUAUUUUUGAAAAGAUACACAUAGAGAUUGCGCGUUCGGUGCAAUGCAACAAUGUGAGCCAUUCUGAAGUCUUAAAUUUCAGAUUAAUGAAUGCUACAAAAUUCUAAGAAGGGCCGUUUCCAAAUAUUUGAGUUCAUUCAUCCGAACAUCGGGUAUAUGCUUCUUUCUCUAGCCCCUCCUUGAAGGGAGGAGGGACAAUGUGAUCUGUAUCGUUAGAAGCUAUUCCAUGUCGUCAUCUUUGGGCUCAGUUCAAUACUAAAAGAUAUGGGCGGGGCCCUUAUCAUUUUAUAUUUCUUCUAGAAGGUUUAUUCUGGAAAUCUUUCACAGAAACAUAUCUUUUUCUUCUCUACGUGAUCCGUGGUUUGAAAGUUGGAAAAAUGGGUCCGUUAACAAGCCACCGAGUUGAAAAGUUGGAAAAAUGGCAACACCGCCAACCUCUUGUAUUCGAUAGUUAAAUAAAAGGUCACUGGAAGUGAGAUCCCUUUUGGCCUCUUGAUUUUCAUUCCAGCAUCUCUAUGGCCUGAUAAAUUAAAAAACUAAAAAAAAAGACAGUACGUGGGUUGGUGUUAAGCAUCAAGAGUCAAGACAUGAUAAUGGAGAGAAAGGAUAUUCAAAUUCCAGUUCUGACAACAUGAUUUUCUUUGCUGAACUACCAUAUUAUAUUUGAUCAAGAAAGAGUAGUGCAUGUGGCCAGGAUCAAGACAUACAUUAAUUUCCACAUGAUGAAGACAGUUUCUGAGAGUUUCUUCUAAAGCUCUUGCGCGAGUAGGCUUCAAGUCAAAAUCUCCCAUGUAAACACUGGUUUUUCUUUCAUUGCCACUAAGGAUGCAGUUAAUAUUGACUUAAGAUCCUACGUGAUAUAUUUUUUUAAAAGAGCUAUAUUGUAGAUAAUAUUUGAAAUAAUGUUGAUUCGUUGUGGAAAUAUAUUUGUAAGGAAAGUUGUUGACAAUUUAAUAUAGUAUAAGAAGAAAAAAGUUAUCAACUAGCUAGAGAUGAGUAUGUAAAGUGAGGCUCACGAUUCAACGCGUAAAUAUAAGAUAUUUUAAGGCUCAAUAGUUAUGAUAUCUAUUUUAUUUUUUGUAUCUCAUAUAUUCAAAGAUAUAGUAAAAUGAUUUUACAUAUAUAUAUAUAUAUAUAUAUGAACAUAACUAUUUGUGCCAAUUGAUUUUUAUCUUUAUUUUGUAUAUUAGUAAUUAUAUUAAAGUUUUUACUAAUAUAAUAACUAAUAUAAAAGCUUUUUCUAAAAGAGUCAACAGAGCAAAACACUUAUUAUAAAAAAUAAUUUUGAUUGAAGGUGGAGUCAAUUAUUCUUUAUUUAACAUGUAAUGCAUACGGCGUGUACUUCAUAACUAAAGUAUAUAAGUGUAACAUCUCUUAUAUAUUCUCAUUCAAUCUCGAAAGUGGAAAUUUUAAAAAGAUUAAACGGUUCAAAUUUGUCGUGCAUAAAGGGGAUCAUGUCACAUAAGCAAACCAUGGCAUACCAAAGACAUAGGUAUGGACUAAGAAUUUUUUUCAAAUAAGUUUCUUAUUAGGGUACAUUAAUAGGUGACUUUUUAUGACAUAUCAAAGGAGUCAAGUGCACCAAUAAAAACAUAUAUAGAAAAUUCAUGCAUGACAUGUAUCACUAAGAGAAGAUUGACUUGAUAGAGUUUAAUCCAAAUAGGAGAUUGUUAAAAGGUGUCUCAAAUUCUUGAUUGAUAUAUAUUUUUUUUAUUAAAAAGGUUAUUAUAUAGAUAUUUCAAUAGACUAUUAAUUCUUUGUAAAAAUAGUUAUAUAAUGAGGAUGGUGAUUAAAAAUAUCUCUAUCAAUAUUUUGGAUUAUAAAAAGAAAAAAAAUGAGAUAAUGAUAAACAUAUAAAACUUGUACAAGUAGAUAAAGAUGUGAUGAAAGACACUUGAUGAAUGAAGGCUUUGUAUUUCAAGAUAUAAAUAUAUGGAGCAAAACUCUUAAUUAUAUGAUCAAAUGAUUCUCUCAUAUUCAUGAAUAUAAGCAGGAUUGGGGAACCAUGAUAGAAUCUUAUAUGCCUCUCCAUGUAGAGUGAUCGAUGUUUAUCUUCAUAUUUUACACCAGUGAAUGACAUUGAAACUCUUAUUGAUAAAAGGGAAAAGGCAUGGCCUCCACCCCAAGAAAAACAAGUAACCUCGGUUUAAAUCACUAGUCUACACCCCGAAGAGAGAACUAGCCAAACCUACUAAAAGAGAAACUUAACAAUUUAGAAAGAAACCGUCCAUGAUAAAGGGCCCCUAAAGGUCCAAUUCAGUGAGGUCGUGAACAAAAACACUUUCAUGUCAAAACAGAGAUAGGUACCACCAAAAUGUAAAGGGAAAGAUGUAAACCACGUCGAACUUUGGUAAUCAAUGGUAAAGAUAGCAUGAUAGCUAAAAGCACUAAAGCUGUGCUUGGUAUGCAAAAAUGAAAAGUGGAAAUCAGCGUCUUAUUCUUUUUCACCUUUAUUCACAUAUUAGGAUAACUAAUAUCUAAUGUUUUUUAUGUCUCAAAUUCUAUUCCAUGUUAUGGUAAACUUUCAUCUUGUUUAGAUCACUUUUGUCUGGUUUGGGCUCAAGACGAUAAGCCUAUAGAGACUUCAUAUUGGGUUGAAUCGAUGCCCUUGAUCUGAUCUGUUCGUUAGAAAAAUCUGAAUUAUUAUAAGCAUUUAGAUAAAAAAUAAAUAAAUGUGAAACACAAACUACUCCCUGCACAACCUUGACCCUAGUUACUCAGUUUCACUGCUCACAGGACUAACCUCUCCAUUCAGUCGAAAUGAAUUGUAACAAGAAGAUUUUUGACAGGAGGACGGUAGUUUAAAAUAAUAAUUUCUAAAGUACUUUUGUGAAAAAAAAUAAUUCCAAACGUGGAUUUUAUCAAGUAAAAAGAAAAAAAAAAGUUAUUUUCUUUUAAAAUCUGUUCUUCUAAAGAUGAUAUAUAUACCAAAAAAAAAAAUUGUUUUCUGAAGGUAAAAUUUUUAAAAUUCAUUUUUAAAAAAAUUUACACACUAAAAUUAUCUUUUCAAGAGAAGAUUUUUUUAAUUUUAAAUAAUUAUUAAUUUAUAAUUAAUUUGUUAUUAAUUAUUUAUUAAUUUUUUUAUUUGAAAAAUGCAUUUAUAAAAAACAAAUUUGUUAUUAAUUUAUUAAAUAAUUUUUACAAAAUAAAUAAUUUUUUUUUAUUUUAAUUUUAAAAUUAAUUUUAUUAUAUAAAUUUUAAAAUUAAAAAUAUUAAUAUUUAAUUUAAAAUUUAACUAUAAAAGGAAUAAAAUAUAGAAAAAUAAAUUAAUUUAUUAUUCAAUAAAUUAAUUUUCAAUAAAAUUUUCAGCAUUAAGAGAUAAAUUUUUAAGUAUUAAUCAAUUUAAAAAGAAAUAAUGAUCAUUUGUAUAUUAAGAUAUUUUAUUUAGUAAUUAUGAAUGAUAAACAACUAAAGUAAUUUGAAAAAAUAAUAAAAUAUUUAAAAAAUAAUAAUUUAAUACACGUAAAAUUAGAAAUGAUUAACUAUUUUUUAUUAAGAAAAAAUUGAGGAAAUAUUUUGUUAUUUAAAAUUUUUUAUUUGUUUUCAAUUUUUAAUGUUAUAGGUUUCAAGAAAAUUGAUCAAAUAAAAAUUAAGAAGUCAUUUUUUCAAAAACUAUAUAUCUAAAUAAAAGCCUUGAAAUUCAAAUACACAAUAUCAUAAAUAUAAACACCAAGUCAAUCCUUAAUUAUCAAAUGUUUUUAAUAUUAAAGAAUCAAAAUCACCUACUAUCAUGAUAAUAAGAAAACCAAUAAUAUUGUUCAUAUAAAUACUAAAAAGCUAACAAAUAUCCCAAACAAUUAAUAAAGUAUCAAACAUGAUAAAAAGUCAAUUAUUAUCAUGAAUGCAAAAAAUCAAUAAUUUUGUUUAUAUGAACCAUCAACAAAGAAAAAAAAAAUCAAUAUCUAAAUAUUAAACAUAAUUUAUAUUUUUAUAAAUAUUAUUGUUGAUAAAUAUCUUAACAAUUAUAAUUUUAGUAAAUAAAAUUAAUUAAUUUUAGUUUAAGAAUUAUUUUUUUAUACUUUCGUAUUCUUAUCAAAAAUCCCCAUUUUGCAUGUCUCCUUUGGCAUGACUUUCUUACCUAAACAAGCAUAUAUAUAUAUAUAUAUAUAUAAAAUAUUUGGUUAAGAAAGAGUACUAAAGUUUAUAUGGCACACAUCAAGAUAGAAACAGAAGUGGAAGAUAAUCCAAAUGUAUGAACAGAUAUAUUAUAUCCAUGUAGUGGUAGUGACUUCAUUAUUUACUUUUAUCUAAUGGAGCAUGACACACUUCUUCUGAAUAUUUUGCACGAUUAUGUUAUGUGUCAGCUUGUUCUAAGUCAAAACUAGUGAUAAAAAUCGGUUUUUUUUGCAUUUCCUUCAUGAAGAUGGCACCUGGAUGGGGCACUACAUGAGUGGCAUAGCACGAAGUGAUUUAUCUGCUCCCUUUACUAUAAAGUGCUUUGUGUAUAAGUUACACCUCCCCUGCACUGCCUCAACAUUUGUUGUUCUGUCUUCCGUCUGUCCAAACGAGGACAAACGUAUGUUGUAGGUUGACAAAACCACAGCUAGCCUAGGAUUUGCAAGGAUCUAGUUUGAUUCGUAUGCAAAAGGAUUGGUGAAAAGAUUCACAAAGAUAAUGCUUUUUGCAAUGCAAUCUUGUUCUAAUUCAACAGUGUGGACCAUUUUCAUGUAAUGCUUCAACUAGAUGUCAGUUUCAUGAAUUUUUGUUCAUCUAAUUGAUCACUGGAUAGGCCAUAACCCGAAGAAAUUCAAAAUUCCCUUCAGUACUGUAGCUAAGGAAAGAUCCCUAUCUACCACUGGGAUUUUAAGAGGGUAAAAAUGUAGGUGGGUGCCUAUAUCAUUUGCACUUCACUAUAGGCCUCUUUGGGAAGAUUUCUUCUGAAGACAUUUCAAAGAAACAUAUUUUUCUCUUCUCUCCGUAAACGGCAGCUGCAAGUCAGUCCAUUCACAGGCCACCGAGUUGAAAAGGCUGGAAAAUUGGCCAAAGCACCCGCCUCCUGGAUUCCAUGGGUAAGGAAAAGGUCACUGGAGGUGUGAUCCCUGUUGGCCUCUUGAUUUCCAUUCCGCCAUCUAUAUGACCUGAUAACCCAAAAACACAGAAGGAAAACGUCACCUGGGUUCAUAGUAAGCAUCAAGUCAUGAUAGAGACCAGACAACAUGACCAACAAAGAGUAGCGAAUGGGGCCAACAUCAAGCCCCAUUACGGUUAGAAGAUGGAAGAAGUAGAAGACAAUCCAAUUCUGAUAGAUUCGGGCAAAUGUAGUGCUGUUCAAACUUAAUCAUUUACUAUUUCUUCAUGAAUCACGGCAUUUUUCUUCUGAAAAUUUUCCAAGAUUAGGCCUCUGAAGAAAAAUUUCAUAUGUAAAUUGGUAUAUUAAGGAAAAGGCGUUACAAAGGUGAAAAAAAACCAAUCAAAUCUUAUAUAUGACAUCUCAAAAAUAUGAACUUGCUAUAAAUAUUUAAAAUCAAAAUCUUGCACAUCACCUCGUAGUACGAACUUGCUAUAAAACUUGAAAAUCAAGAAGAAAGGGGCAGUAUUGGACGAGACUACUUAGCACAUAUUAUUAUGAUGUUUUUUCAUUUUCUUAAUGUUGUUUUUAUGUCUUAAAUUCUAUUAUUCUAUGUUACGGUAAACAUUCAUCUUGUUUGUGUGGAAUAGGAUCACUUUUCUCUGGGUUGAGUCGAUGCCCUUAGUUAAUUUGUUCAUUUGAAUAAACUAAAUUAUUAUAAGUAUUUAGAUAAGAAAAACGUGAUACAUAAAUUACGCCUCUCGGCACAACUUCAACACUGGUUACUCUGUUUCAGUUUCCUCACACAAGAUUAUUGGUUCUAGGGUUUAUUUGGUUUUGGUUUGAUUCUAAUUGCUAAACUUUCUCAAGGAAGAUGUUAUAUAGGGAGUGAGAAACCUUCACUCUUGGCUACCUCCAAGAGAAGAGCAAGUGGUCUGAAUCAAAGAUAUACUGCUCACUUUUUCUUCUUCUAAGGACAGCUAUGACCUUGCUUUAAGGUUCGAAUAGCCUAAUGCAACCUCCCAUUUCUCAAGUCAGCUGAUGAUGUAAGUCACCUUGGCUUUCCACAUUCAUACGGUGAGGACGUUUGUGGGUGUAAUUCUCUUAACAGUUUUCAUUUUAUAUGGAAAAAUUCAUAAUUAAGGGUAAUUACUGAUUCCAUUUGACAGUGACCAAGUUUAAAAUAUUAAUUCAUAUAUUAAAUGCACAUUAAAAAAUCAUGGAAUAAAUAUAUUUACUAAUAUAUAGUUCUUUUGCCAUGUUCUGUCACAGAAGCAUCGAACUUUCCCUAGAAAUUUUUGCAUGGUAUUCUACUUAUGAUUUUGAAAACUCUAGGCACCUGAGGCCACUAAUUGCAUGGUUGGAUGAGGAGCUGCAUGAGAUUAUGUAUCGUGUUGUUCCUUAACUACAAAUAUCAGUUUUAAGUAGCAUCUCCAUGUGACAUUUUCCUGAUGCAAUUUCGCUGUCCACCAACAAAUUUCACCAUGCAGCAAGAUGAAUUGUAAUUUCUUUAUUGUUAUCAACAGCUUUAAUUAAUCUUGAUAUAUAUAUAUAACUUAGUAGAAGUAUAUUAAUCUAGAUUGUAGUUGCACUAAGAUAAUAGGCAAUAUUAUAACAGUGCCACAAUGCUCAUCGCCAAAUAGAAAGGUAGAAAAACUACAAUGAGUAACUCACAACAUUCUCAAACAGGACAUAGCGGCGACUGAUACAUAGAACACUAUUGGCACUCAGGAAAUGAUAAGAUCAGUGCCCAGCAGGCAGCACGUCUUAUUUUACAUACUACUUAAAACUAACCAAAGUCAUUCAGUUGGGAUGGGUGGGAGAUGGUGGUUUGUGCGGUGGCUUUUGGGUAGUUGGUGGCUUCUUUCCUGGAACUGAUGGUUUUUUUGUUGGAGUUGAAGGAGGCUUAAUCGUCUGAGGUGGCUUGUAUGAGUCUUCAGCACUCUCUGCGGGAGGGUGCCCAGGGUUGUGACCAUAAUGGGGUGGCUUCUCUCCCUUAGUUGGUUUGCCAAGUGGGCUGGCUGGCUUGUGCUCCGGGAGCGGCUUCUCUCCCUUAGGUGGUUUGCCAAAUGGGCUUGCUGGCUUGUGCUCUGGGAGCGGCUUCUCUCCCUCAAGAAGUUUACGGGUUUUGUCAGAUGGCUUGUGUUCUGGUGGUGGCUUCUCUCCUUGGGGUGGUUUGCCAAAUGGACUUGGUGGCUUGUGUUCGGGGAGUGGCUCCUCUCCCUUGGGAGGUUUAGUUGGUGGCUGGUGUUCCAUAGGUGGUUUCUCAACCGGGGGCUUGUUCUCCGUUGGUGGUUUAUGAACUGGGGGAUGCUUGGGGUAGUCAGCAAGAGACGGGGUGGUGAGAACCACCAGUCCCAGCAGCAACACUAGCAAGUAUGUGGAAGAGUACAUCUUUGAGUUCAGGCUGAGAUUUGUGCGAGACUUGAAGAAUUAGGUGGCCUUUUAUAGCUGGCUGCACCCAACACUCACAUGACACGUAUCAUGGUGACACAUGUGCUAUGGGUCCAUUUGGGUCCUACAGAAGCUGAAAACUUUUGACUAUUGAGGUGUGGUCACAACUUUUGUCCCUAUUGCUUUCUCCGCAACCGUUUUACAUGUUUCCUUUGGCAUAAUUUUCUAAGCUAAACAAGCAUAUAUCAUAUUUGGUUAAGAAAGAGUAAAGUGUAUAUGGCACACAUCAAGGAAGAGAAACAGAAAAAGUGGGAGACAAUCAAUUGUGAUAAACAGAUAUAUUAUAUUCAUGUAGUACUAGUGACUUUAUCAUUUACUUUUAUCCAAUAGAUCAUCACUCUUUCUUCUAAAUAUUUUGGAGGAUAAUGGUACAUGUUGCUUGUUUCCAAGUCAAAAUUGGUGGCAAAAAUCGGCAUGAUACGAAAGGAUUGGUGAAAAGAUUCACAUAGAUGGUGCUUUGUGCAAUGCAGUCUUGCUCUAAUUCAACAGAGUGGACCAUGGUGAUGUAUUUUAAAUUUUAAAUUUUAAAUUAAUGCAUGCUUCAAAGUUUUAACUAGAUGUCACUUCCAUGGAUUUUUGUUCAUUUAAUUGAGCACAGGAUAGGCUAUCAAACUUGAAGUAAUAUAAAAAUCCCUUCAUUACUGUAACUAAUGAAAGAUCAUUAUCUGCGCUUGGUAUUUUGCCAAGGUAUUUGCUGCUCUUUCUAGCCCUGUCUUACAGUUAAGGACAAUGUGAUCUAGUUAACCUUAGAAGCUAUUCCAUGUCAGAUACAAGAGAUCAAGCACAUUAUCUUUGGGCUCAGUUCAAAACUAUAAUAUAUGGGUGGGGUGGAGGCCCAUAUCAUUUGCAUAUCACCACUAUUGGUUUAGUUUGGAAGGUUUCUUCUGGAAGAUUGCUGCUUUCUGGAAUCAUUUCAAAGAAAUAUAUCUUUUUGUUCUCUUGGUGACGAGCAGCGGCAAUCAAGUCUGUUGACAAACAACCGAGUUGAAAAGUUUGAAAAUUGGUCACAGCCCACGUCCAUGGUUAAGGAAAAGGUCACUGGAAGUGAUCCCUUCUGGGCCUCUUGAUUUCCAUUCUGACAUCUAUAUGACCUGAUAAAUAGAAAGAAAAAAAAACAGAAGAAAAGCGGCACCCGGGUUCAUAGUAAGCAUCAAGACAGGAUACUGAAAGAAGGGAGAAAGGAGAUUGCAAGUCCAAUCCUGAUAAAAUGAUCAACAAAGAGUAUCAAAAUGGGGCCAACAUAAAGACCCAUUGAGGUUAGCAGAUGGCAUGGCAUUUUUCUCCUUAAGUUUUCCAUGAUUAGACUUGAAGUCAAAAUUUCACAUGUAAAUUUGUAUUUCUACAUUUCCCACUGACGACACCCAACUUCAACUUGAGUUAGAAUAACAUUGUGUGAACUUAUCUGGCCCUCAAAAUUUACUGUGAAGUGCUUUCUGCGUGUGAAGAUUCAGAAAAGCACCAAGGGAACAUGUAUGGUCUGCCUUUUUCUGAUGUUAUGUUUGUCUCUAAUUCUGUUCCAUGUCAUGGUAAAUGUUCACAUUGCUUGUAUGGAACACACCAGGAUCACUUUUUCGGGUUUAUUUUGAGGCUUCAUAUUGGGUUCAUAUUGGGUUCAAUGCUUUUAAUGUGUUCAUUAGACAAAUCUGAAUUAUCAUAUGCAUUUAGAUAAGAACAAUAAUGUGAAACCCUAGUUACACCUCCCCUGCAUAACCCCAACCCUGCUUACUCUAUUUCAGUUUACUCACACAAGUUUUACCGGUUCUUAUAAGUCAAGAAAAGGCAACUGAUGUUGGAUUGACUCUCUUCCAUGUAUAAAAAGCAACUUUUAUAUAUACAUAAAAUAACUUCUUCCCCUCACCAAUGUGGGAUAUCAUGGAUUUAUUCUGGAAACACAUCAAAGGAACAUCUUUUCUCUUGGGUGACCCUAAGUGGUGAGUCAGACCAUUUGCAUGCCAUUGAGUUGCACAGUUGGAUAAAUGCACCUACCUCCUGGGCUCCAGAGUUAAAAGGGUGGAUCCCUGGAUCGCAACCCUCUUGGCAUCUUGGUUUCCAUUCCAACAUCCACAUGACUUGACAAAACAAAAAACAGAAUAAAAUCAUCACUAUUUUCAUGCUAAGCACCAAUACAUGAUGGAAAUCAUUGCUUAAAGAUUUGGGGUCAUUUAGGUUUUGACUGCCUCCUAACACCUCACCUAAUCACAAGUUUUUAUGCUUACAAAUCAAAUAUCGUUCUUCAUUAUAUUAAAAUCAUUUUAAGAUUUCAGAUCCAUCUGCUAAUUAUGAUUAUGAUAACAUUAAUUCACCUGUGCUUCUCAUUUUCGACACACAAGGCAUCUAGGUUUGCAGGAUUUCCUUAUUAGAUGAGAUAAAUGAGUACGCAUGGUUAUGUAUGCAGCAUUCAUUAACCAUGGUAUGUGACAUUUAGAAUUAAGAUAGCAAGCAAACUUUCCCUGCAGCUUGAGUAAAUUGUGAUUUCUUAGCCUCUAUGAGUGGUUCCCAAAUCAAAUUAACAUAGUGAAAUAUACGUAGUCCAGUGAAAGGAAAUGUAAAUUAUAAACUAACAGCACUACACUACUGGUAACACUCGAUACUCUCUAUAUAAUGCAAUGAAAUAUACGUUAUACGUUGCUUGUUCCAAGUCAAAAUUUGUGGCCAAACGUUGGCCUUUUUUCAUUUUCCCUAAGAUUAAUGCUCACCUGGGAUAGGCACUACAUGAUUUAUCUGCUCUUUUACUGUAAAGUUGCUUUGUGUAUGAGUUACACCUCCCCUGCACACCCUCAACAUUUGUUGCUCUGUUUUCCUUGUGUCCAGACGAGGAUAUUAAGUGGGGGCUGACAAAACGACUGCUAGCCAAGGAUUUACAAGGUCCUGGUUUGACGCUUCCGCGAAAGUAUUUUUGAAAAUAUACACAUAGAGAUUGCGCGUUCGGUGCAAUGCAACAAUGUGAGCCAUUCUGAAGUUUUUAAUUUCAGAUUAAUGAAUGCUACAAAAUUCUAAGAAGGGCCGUUUCCAAAUAUUUGAGUUCAUUUAUCCGAACAUCGGAUAAGUAAUGAUCAUAGAUUAUUAUUAUUAUCUGACGUUCUUAUAAUGGUUGGCAUUAUAAGAGGGUAUAUGCUUCUUUCUCUAGCCCCUCCUUCAAGGGAGGGACAAUGUGAUCUGUAUCGUUAGAAGCUAUUCCAUGUCGUCAUCUUUUGGCUUAAGUCAAUACUAAAAUAUAUGGGCGGGGCCCCUGUCAUUUUAUAUUUCUUCUAGAAGGUUUGUUCUGGAAAUCUUUCACCGAAACAUAUCUUUUUCUUCUCUACGUGAUCCGUGGUUGGAAAGUUAGAAAAAUGGGUCCGUUCACAAGCCACCGAGUUGAAAAGUUGGAAAAAUGGCAACACCGCCAACCUCUUGUAUUCGAUAGUUAAAUAAAAGGUCACUGGAAGUGAGAUCCCUUUUGGCCUCUUGAUUUUCAUCCCAGCAUCUCUAUGUCCUGAUAAACUAAAAAACUAAAAAAAAAACAGUACGUGGGUUGGUGUUAAGCAUCAAGAGUCAAGACAUGAUAAUGGAGAGAAAGGAUAUUCAAAUUCCAGUUCUGACAACAUGAUUUUCUUUCCUGAACAACCAUGUUAUAUUUGAUCAAGAAAGAGUAGUGCAUGUGGCCAGGAUCAAGACAUACAUUAAUUUCCACAUGAUGAAGACAGUUUCUGAGAGUUUCUUCUAAAGCUCUUGCGCUAGUAGGCUUCAAGUCAAAAUUUCCCAUGUAAACACUGGAUUUUCUUUAAUUGCCACUAAGGAUACAGUUAAAAUUGACUUAAAAUCCUACGUGAUAUAUAUCUUUAACAAAAGUAUAUUGUAUAUAAUAUUUGAAAUAAUGUUGAUUCGUUGUGGAAAUAUGUUUGUAAGGAAAGUUGUUGACAAUUUAAUAUAGUAUAAGAAGAAAAAAGUUAUCAACUAGAGAUGAGUAUGUAAAGUGAGGCUCACGAUUCAACGCGUAAAUAUAAGAUAUUUUAAGGCUCAAUAGUUAUGAUAUCUAUUUUAUUUUUUGUAUCCCAUAUAUUCAAAGAUACAGUAAAAUGAUUUUAUAUAUAUGAACAUAGCCGAUAGUAUCAUGUUAAAACCUUAUAUGACUCUUUGUGCCAAUUGAUUUUUAUCUUUAUUUUGUGUAUUAGUAAUUAGUAUUAAAGUUUUUACUAACAUAAUAAUUGAUAUAAAAGCUUUUUCCAAAAGAGUCAAACAGAGCAAAACACUUAUUAUAAAAAGAAUUUUGAUUGAAGGUGGAGUCAAUUAUUCUUUAUUCAACAUGUGAUGCAUACAGCGGGUACUUCAUAACUAAAGUAUAUAAGUGCAACAUCUCUUAUACAUUCUCAUUCAAUCUCGAAAGUGGAAAAUUUUAAAAGAUUAAAUGGUUCAAAUUUUCCGUGCAUAAAGGGGAUCAUGUCACAUAACCAAACCAUGGCAUACCAAAGCCAUGAUAUGGACUAAGAAUUUUGUUAAAAUAAGUUUCUUAUUAGGGCACAUUAUGUGACUAUUUAUGACAUAUCAAAGGAGUCAAGUGCAUCAAUAAAGACAUAGAAAAUUCAUGCAUCACAUGUACCACUAAGAGAAAAUUGACUUGAUAGAGUUUAGUCCAAAUAGGAGAUUGUUAAAAGGUGCAUCAAAUUCUUGAUUGAUAUAUAUUUUUUUUAUUAGAAAGGUUAUUAUAUAGAUAUUUCAAUAGACUAUUAAUCCUUUGUAAAAAUAGUUAUAUAAUGAGGAUGGUGAUUAAAAAUAUCUCUAUCAAUAUUUUGGAUUAUAAAAAGAAAAAAAAUAUGAGAAAAUGAUAAACAUAUAAAACUUGUACAAGUAGAUAGAGAUGUGAUGAAAGACACUUGAUGAAUGGAGGCCUUGUAUUUCAAGAUGUAAAUAUAUGGAGCAAAACUCUUAAUUAUAUGAUCAAAUGAUUCUCUCAUAUUCAUGAACAUAAGCAGGAUUGGGGAACCAUGAUAGAAUCUUAUAUGCCUCUCCAUGUAGAUUGAUCGAUGUUUAUCUUCAUAUUUUACACCAAUGAAUGACAUUGAAACUCUGAUUGAUAAAAGGGAAAAAGCAUGGCCUCCACCACAAGAAAAACAAGUAACCUCGGUCUAAAUCACUAGUCUACACCCCGAAGAGAGAACUAGCCAAACCUACUAAAAGAGAAACUUACCAAUUUAGAAAGAAAUCUUCCAUGAUAAAGGGCCCCUAAAAGUCCAAUUCAGUCAGGUUGUGAACAAAAACACCUUCAUGUCAAAACAGGAAUAGGUACCACCAAAAUGUAAAGGGAAAGAUGUAAACCAAGUCGAACUUUGGUAAACAAUGGUAAAGAUAGCAUGAUAGCUAAAAGCACUAAAGCUGUGCUUGGUAUGCAAAAAUGAAAAGUGGAAAUCAGCGUCUUAUUCUUUUUCUCCUUUAUUCACAUAUUAGGAUAACUAAUAUCUAAUGUUUUUUUUAUGUCUCAAAUUCUAUUCCAUGUUAUGGUAAACUUUCAUCUUGUUUAAGUGGAAGAGUAGGAUCACUUUUGUCUGGUUUGGGCUCAAGACGAUAAGCCUAUAGAGACUUCAUAUUGGGUUGAAUUGAUGCCCUUGAUCCGAUCAGUUCGUUAGAAAAAUCUGAAUUAUUAUAAGCAUUUAGAUAAAAUAAAUAAAUAAAUGUGAAACAGAGACUAUUCUCUGCACAACCUUGACCCUAGUUACUCAGUUUCACUGCUCACGGGACUAACCUCUCCAUUCAGUCGAAAUGAAUUGUAAUUUCUUUACUGGUAGCAGUAGUACUUUUCAUAGCAAAGAUAAUAGUAAAUAUGAAAUAUAAAUAUAUAGAAGGAAAUCUGGAUUGUAGAUAGCACCAUAAGUAACACUCAAUAUUUACUACAUAAUAAAAGAGAUAGUGUUACAAAGGUAGAGAAACCUACAAUGAGUACUCAUCACCAUUCUCAAACAGAAACAUAGCAGUGACUUAUACAUAGAACCUAUAGGCUCGCAGGGAAAGAGUAACAUGAUAAGUGCACAGCGGGUAGCAGCUCUUAUUUUACGUAUUACUCAAAAUCUCAAACUAACCAAAGUCACUCAGUUGGGAUGGGUAGGAGAUGGUGGUUUGUGGGGUGGCUUCUGGGUAGGAGCUGGUGGCUUCUUUGUUGGAGUUGAAGGAGGCGUAAUCUUCUGAGGUGGCUUGUAUGAGUCUUUGGCACUCUCUGCAGGAGGGUGCCCAGGGUUGUGACCGGAAGGAGGUGGCUUCUGUCCCUUUGGUGGUUUGCCUAAUGGGCUUGGUGGCUUGUGCUCCGGGAGUUGUUUCUCUCCCUCGAGUAGGUUUCGAGUUUUGUCAGAUGGCUUGUGUUCUGGUGGUGGCUUCUCUCCCUGGGGUGGUUUGCCGAAUGGGCUUGGUGGCUUGUGUUCGGGGAGUGGCUUCUCUCCCUUGGCAGGUUCAGUUGGUGGCUGGUGCUCCGUAGGUGGUUUCUUCACCGCCGGCUUCUCUCCCUGGAGAAGGUUACGAGUUUUGUCAGAUGGCUUCUGUUCUGGUGGCGGCUUCUCUCCCUGGGGUGGUUUGCCAAAUGGGCUUGGUGGCUUGUGUUCGGGAACUGGCUUCUCUCCCUUGGCAGGUUCAGUUAGUGGCUGGUGUUCCGUAGGUGGUUUCUUCACCGGCGGCUUGUGCUCCGGAAGCGGCUUCUCUACCUGGAGAAGCUUACGAGUUUUGUCAGAUGGCUUGUGUUGUGGUGGUGGCUUCUCUCCCUGGGGUGGUUUGCCAAAUGGACUUGGUGGCUUGUGUUCGGGGAGUGGCUUCUCUCCAUUGGGAGGUUUAGUUGGUGGUUGGUGUUCCGUAGGUGGUUUCUGAAGUGGGGGAUGCUUGGGGUAGUCAGCAAGAGACGAGGUAGUGAGAACCACCAGUCCCAGCAGCAAUACUAGCAAGGAUGUGGAAGACAUCUUUGAGUUCAGGCUGAGAUUUGUGCAAGGCUAGAAGAAUUAGGUGGCCUUUUAUAGCGGGCUGGACCCAACAACCAAAUGACACGUAUCAUGAUACACAUAUGUGUUAUAAGAUCCUUGUGGGUCCUACAGAAGUUGAAAACUUUGACAAUUGAGGUGUGAUUACAACUUUUGUCCCUAUUGCUUUCUCGUCAGCCGUUUUGCAAGAUUUUUGACAGGAGGACGGUAGUUUAAAAUAAUAAUUUCUAAAGUACUUUUGUGAAAAAAAAUAAUUCCAAACGUGGAUUUUAUCAAGUAAAAAAAACAAAAAAAAGUUAUUUUCUUUUAAAAUCUUUUCUUCAUGAUUCAUAUACCAAAAAAAGAAUUGUUUUCUGUAGGUAAAAUUUUUAAAAUUCAUUUUUAAAAAAAAAAAAUUACACACUAAAAUUAUCUCUUCAAGAAAAUAUUUUUUAAAUUUUAAAUAAUUAUUAAUUUAUAAUUAAUUUUUUAUUAAUUAUUUAUUAAAUUUAUAUGUGAAAAAUGCAUUUAUAAAAAACAAAUUUUUUAUUAAUUUAUUAAAUAAUUAUUUACAAAAUAAAUAAUUUUGCUUUAUUUUAAUUUUAAAAUUAAUUUUAUUAUAUAAAUUUUAAAAUUAAAAAUAUUAAUAUUUAAUUUAAAAUUUAACUAUAAAAGGAAUAAAAUAUAGAAAAAUAAAUUAAUUUAUUAUUCAAUAAAUUAAUUUUCAAUAAAAUUUUCAGCAUUAAGAGAUAAAUUUUUAAGUAUUAAUCAAUUUAAAAAAUAAUAAUAAUCAUUUGUAUACUAAGAUAUUUUAUUUAGUAAUUAUGAAUGAUAAACAACUAAAGUAAUUUGAAAAAAUAAUAAAAUAUUUAAAAAUAAUAAUUUAAUACACUUAAAAUUAGAAAUGAUUAACUAUUUUUUAUUAAGAAAAAAUUGAAGAAAUAUUUUGUUAUUUAAAAUUUUUUAUUUGUUUUCAAUUUUAAAUGUUAUAGGUUUCAAGAAAAUUGAUCAAAUAAAAAUUAAGAAGUCAUUUUUUCAAAAACUAUAUAUCUAAAUAAAAGCCUUGAAAUUCAAAUACACAAUAUCAUAAAUAUAAACACCAAGUCAAUCCUUAAUUAUCAAAUGUUUUUAAUAUUAAAGAAUCAAAAUCACCUACUAUCAUGAUAAUAAGAAAACCAAUAAUAUUGUUCAUAUAAAUACUAAAAAGCUAACAAAUAUCCCAAACAAUUAAUAAAGUAUCAAACAUGAUAAAAAGUCAAUUAUUAUCAUGAAUGCAAAAAAUCAAUAAUUUUGUUUAUAUGAACCAUCAACAAAGAAAAAAAAAAUCAAUAUCUAAAUAUUAAACAUAAUUUAUAUUUUUAUAAAUAUUAUUGUUGAUAAAUAUCUUAAUAAUUAUAAUUUUUUAUAUAUUAAAUUUAGUAAAUAAAAUUAAUUAAUUUUAUAAUAUAAGAUAUAUAUAAUAAUUAAGAGACUAUUUGUCCCAAACAAUUUAUUUAUUUUUUUUUUAGGAAAUUGUCUCUUCAAGAGACGACUUCUCCCAACAUUUUUAAAAAAAAAAAAAAAAACAUCUAUUCAAAAGACGAUUUCUCCUCAUUUUUUAAAAAUGAAUUUUAGAAAUCAUAUUUUCAAAAAUGAAUUUUAGAAAUCAUAUUUUCAAAAGACGAUUUUUUUUUAUAUAAAUUAUUUUUUAAAAUGACGAUUUUAAAAGGAAAUAACGAUCUCUCUCCUACUUGGCAAAAACUAUGGUAAAUUUGGAAUUAUUUCUUCCACAACCAUAGUUUAAGAAUUAUUUUUUUAUACUUUCGUAGACUUAUCAAAAAUCCCUAUUUUGCAUGUCUCAUUUGGCAUGACUUUCUUACCUAAACAAGCAUAUAUAUAUAUAUAUAUAUAUAUAUCACUUUUGUCUGGGUUGAGUCAAUGCCCUUAACUAAUUUGUUCAUUUGAAUAGUCUAAAUUAUUAUAAGCUUUUAGUUAAGAAAAAUGUGAAACAUAAAUUACACCUCUCGGCACAACUUCGACACUGGUUACUCUGUUUCAGUUUAUUCACACAAGAUUAUUGGUUCUAGGGUUUAUUUGGUUUUGGUUUGAUUCUAAUUGCUAAACUUUCUCAAGGAAGAUGUUAUAUAGGGAGUGAGAAACCUUCACUCCUGGCUACCUCCAAGAGAAGAGCAAGUGGUCUGAAUCAAAGAUAUACUGCUCACUUUUUCUUCUUCUAAGGACAGCUAUGACCUUGCUUUAAAAUGUUCGAAUAGCCUAAUGCAACCUCCCAUUUCUCAAGUCAGCUGAUGAUGUAAGUCACCUUGGCUUUCCACAUUCAUACGGUGAGGACGUUUGUGGGUGUAAUUCUCUUAACAGUUUUCAUUUUAUAUGGAAAAAUUCAUAAUUAAGGGUAAUUACUGAUUCCAUUUGACAGUGACCAAGUUUAAAAUAUUAACUCAUGUAUUAAAUGCACAUUAAAAAAUCAUGGAAUAAAUAUAUUUACUAAUAUAUAGUUCUUUUGUCAUGUUCUGUCACAGAAGCAUCGAACUUUCCCUAGAAAUUUUUGCAUGGUAUUCUGCUUAUGAUUUUGAAAACUCUAGGCACCUAAGGCCACUGAUUGCAUGGUUGGAUGAGGAGCUGCAUGAGAUUAUGUAUCCUGUUGCUCCUUAACUACAAAUAUCAGUUUUAAGUAGCAUCUCCAUGUGACAUUUUCCUGAUGCAAUUUCGCUGUCCACCAACAAAUGUCUCCAUGCAGCUAGAUGAAUUGUAAUUUCUUUGUUGUUAUCAACAGCUUUAAUUAAUCUUGAUAUAUAUAUAACUUAGUAGAAGUAAUUAAUCUAGAUUGUAGUUGCACUAAGAUAAUAGGCAAUAUUAUAACAGUGCCACAAUGCUCAUCGCCAAAUAGAAAGGUAGAAAAACUACAAUGAGUAACUCACACAACAUUCUCAAACAGGACAUAGCGGCGACUGAUACAUAGAACACUAUUGGCACUCAGGAAAUGAUAAGAUCAGUGCCCAGCAGGCAGCACGUCUUAUUUUACAUACUACUUAAAACUAACCAAAGUCAUUCAGUUGGGAUGGGUGGGAGAUGGUGGUUUGUGCGGUGGCUUCUUUCCUGGAACUGGUGGUUUUUUUGUUGGAGUUGAAGGAGGCUUAAUCGUCUGAGGUGGCUUGUAUGAGUCUUCAGCACUCUCUGCAAGAGGGUGCCCAGGGUUGUGACCAUAAUGAGGUGGCUUCUCUCCCUUAGGUGGUUUGCCAAGUGGGCUGGCUGGCUUGUGCUCCGGGAGCGGCUUCUCUCCCUUAGGUGGUUUGCCAAAUGGGCUUGCUGGCUUGUGCUCUGGGAGCGGCUUCUCUCCCCCAAGAAGUUUGCGGGUUUUGUCAGAUGGCUUGUGUUCUGGUGGUGGCUUCUCUCCUUGGGGUGGUUUGCCAAAUGGACUUGGUGGCUUGUGUUCGGGGAGUGGCUCCUCUCCCUUGGGAGGUUUAGUUGGUGGCUGGUGUUCCGUAGGUGGUUUCUCAACCGGGGGCUGGUGCUCCGUAGGUGGUUUAUGAACUGGGGGAUGCUUGGGGUAGUCAGCAAGAGACGGGGUGGUGAGAACCACCAGUCCCAGCAGCAACACUAGCAAGUAUGUGGAUGACAUCUUUGAGUUCAGGCUGAGAUUUGUGCAAGACUAGAAGAAUUAGGUGGCCUUUUAUAGCUGGCUGCACCCAACACUCACAUGACACGUAUCACGGUGACACAUGUGCUAUGGGAUCCAUUUGGGUCCUACAGAAGUUGAAAACUUUUGACUAUUGAGGUGUGAUCACAACUUUUGUCCCUAUUGCUUUCUCCGCAACCGUUUUACAUGUUUCCUUUGUGGUGUUUAAUAGUGUUUUUUUCCUUAAUUCUAAAUAAACCUUAAUACUUAAUAAUGUUAAAUAUUAGGUUAUUUAUUUUUAUAAUAUUUUAUUUAUAUUAAGUAUUAAAAAGUAAAGAAAAAUCAAUAUAUUUAUUUUUCUAUUUAGAAAAAACUAUAUAUUUUUAAUUUUUUUAUUUAAUAAAAAAUUUAUAAUAAAUCAUGAAAAAAUAGAAAAACAAACAACCUAAAUUUUAAAAAUAAAUUGUUUUUAGUAAAAACCCAAAAAAACAAACACCACCUUAACUAAACAAAUAUAUAUUAUAUUUAGUUAAGAAAGAGUAAAGUGUAUAUGGCUCAAAUCAAGGAAGAGAAACAGAAUAAGUGGAAGACAAUCAAUUGUGAUAAACAGAUAUAUUACAUGCAUGUAGUACUAGUGACUUUAUCAUUUACUUUUAUACAAUAGAUCAUCACACUCUUUCUUCUAAAUAUUUUGGAGGAUAAUGGUACAUGUUGCUUGUUGCCAAGUCAAAAUUGGUGGCAAAAAUCGGCAUGAUACGAAAGGAUUGGUGAAAAGAUUCACAUAGAUGGUGCUUUGUGCAAUGCAGUCUUGCUCUAAUUCAACAGAGUGGACCAUGGUGAUGUAUUUUAAAUUUUAAAUUUUAAAUUAAUGCAUGCUUCAAAGUUUUAACUAGAUGUCACUUCCAUGGAUUUUUGUUCAUUUAAUUGAGAACAGGAUAGGCUAUCAAACUUGAAGUAAUAUAAAAAUCCCUUCAUUACUGUAACUAAUGAAAGAUCAUUAUCUGCGCUUGGUAUUUUGCCAAGGUAUUUGCUGCUCUUUCUAGCCCUAUCUUACAGUUAAGGACAAUGUGAUCUAGUUAACCUUAGAAGCUAUUCCAUGUCAUAUACAAGAGAUCAAGCACAUUAUCUUUGGGCUCAGUUCAAAACUAUAAUAUAUGGGUGGGGUGGGGGCCUAUACCAUUUGCAUAUCACCACUAUUGGUUUAGUUUGGAAGGUUUCUUCUGGAAGAUUGCUUUCUGGAAACAUUUCAAAGAAAUAUAUCUUUUUGUUCUCUUGGUGACGAGCAGCGGCAAUCAAGUCUGUUGACAAACAACCGAGUUGAAAAGUUUGAAAAUUGGUCACAGCCCACGUCCAUGGUUAAGGAAAAGGUCACUGGAAGUGAUCCCUUCUGGGCCUGUUGGAAGCAGGGGAGGUUAACACACCAAGCAACAAAGAACAGAGAUAUGCUGCUACUGAUCUAUAUUUUUUAUUUGAUCAUAAGGCUAAAUUUAUACAGAUUGUGUAACAGAUAUGACCUCAAAAAAAAGCAUCAAAUCAAGCUACUUGUUGAACAAACAACUACCUUCUACAAAAUAACAUCAAAAUUUAACUUAAAAGCAAAAACAUAAAAAUAGCAACAGCAAAAAUAGAAACAUAAAAAUAGCUUCAGCAUUCUAGUAAUCUCGUUGACUUCAAUUGCAUGUGGUUGACGAUUUCAGCCUUUUCCUCAGCAGCUACUAAGGCAUAACUCUCAACACUCCUCCUUGACUUAGGAGGUGCAAACUCCAAGUCUUUCUCAUAGAAACUCAAAUCUUAUUUUAGGAAGAGCUUUAGUCAGAAUAUCUACAUUUUGACUGUCUGUAUUGCAGUAGACUAGUUGUAUAUCUCCUUCUUUCUGUACUUCCCUCAAAAAUUACAAUUUAAUCUUGAAGUGCUUUGUUUUACCAUGAAAAACUGGAUCAUUUGCAAUAGAUAUAGUGGCCUGGUUGUCUACAAACACCUUUGUACUCACUUCUUGCUUCAUAUCCAAAUCUGUCAGCAACUUUCCAAGCCAUAAGGCUUGAUUUACAGCUGUAACAGCAGCAAUAUACUCUGCCUCAGCUGUGGAUUGAGCCACGACUUCUUGCUUCCUUGAACUCCAUGAAAAAACACCAGAACCAAAACUAAAACAAUAGCCUGAAGUACUUCUCAUAUCGUCAACACAACCAGCCCAAUCACUAUCAGAAAAUCCAUGAAAAUUGAAACUUUGAACUUGACUGAACUUAAUGCCAUAAUCCACAGUGCCUUUAACAUUUCUUAUCACACGCUUUGCUGCCUGGAAAUGAAUUUCACUAGCACAAUGCAUGUAUCUCGAAAGUAGACUUACAGCAUGCAUUAUAUCGAGUCUUGUUGCAGUCAAGUACAUUAAGCAUCCAAUCAUGCUUCGAUAAAGUCCUUCAUCUACCUUUUUAGCACCGUCCUCCUUACAGAACUUCUCUUUCUGGUUCAUAGGGGUAGAUGUAGGUUUGCAUUCCUCCAUUUUGAAUUUCUUCAUAAUUUCUUUGGCAUAUUUUUGUUGGCAGAUGAAAAUCUCAUUCUGCUUCUGGUGUACUUCCAUUCCCAAGAAGUAAGACAUCUCAUCUAGGUCUGUCAUCUCAAAAACCUGCUCCAUUUCAGCCUUGAAUUUGUUCACAAACCCUGCAUUACUUCCUGUUACAAGCAAAUCAUCAACAUAUAGAGAAACAAUUAAUAUAUCUUCUUCAAUCUUCUUAAUGUAGAGUGUAAAUUCACUCAAGCUCUUGUGAAAGCCUAAAGUUAGCAGGUGAGUGUCAAUCCUGCUGUACCAAGCUCUAGGGGCUUGUCUUAACCCAUACAAGGCCUUCUUAAGAAGGUAUACUUUUUCUUCUUUUCCUUUGAUAGCAAAACCUUCUGGUUGUUCGACAAAAAUCUCUUCCUCUAAGUAGCCAUUCAAAAAUGCUGACUUCACAUCUAGUUGAUAAAUCUUCCAUUUUCUUUGAGCUACAAGAGCCAACAACAUCCUGAUUGUAUCCAAACGAGCUACUGGUGCAAAGGUUUCCGAAAAGUCAACACCAAACAUUUGUGCAUACCCUUUGACAACCAGCCUUGCUUUAUGUUUGUUUAUAGAACCAUCAGAGUUGAGUUUGGUUCUGUAAACCCACUUAACCCCAAUAGGUUUUUUGUGUGAAGGUCUAUCUACUAGCUCCCAAGUGUUGUUCUUGUCAAUCAUAUCUAGCUCCUCCUGCAUUGCAACCCUCCAUCUUUUAUUUUCAGCAGCUUCAACAAACCCUGCAAGUUCAAGAACAGCUAUAUUACACCUUUGAUAAAUAUCAAAAAGUGUCAUGAAACCUCUAACUGGAAGUUCAUCAACAUCUUCAUCAAUAUAUUGCUGAUUCUGCUCAUCCCAACUCCAUUUCUCCGUUUCCAAAAACUUAACAUCUCUACUUACCACAAUUUUACUAUUUUGUGGCAAGUAGAUUCUGUAAGCUUUUGAGGUGCUGUUGUAUCCAAUGAAAAUUCCUGGUUCUGACUUUUUAUCUAGCUUGUCUCUUUUCACCUGAGGAACAUAAGAGAAACACAAGCAACCAAAGGUCUUUAAAUUCAUUAGCAUAGGCUUAUAAGCAAACCAGGCCUCAAAAGGUGUCUGUUUCUGCAAUGCUUUUGUUGGUAGUCUAUUUAGCAAAAAUACUACUGUAUUUGCAGCUUCAACCCAAAAACUUUUUGGCAGCUCUUUCUCAUGCAAAAGACAUCUUGUCAUUGAUUACUACUCAAAAAGUGCUAUUUGAUAGCCUUUAAUUAAUCCUUUUUAACACUUUUGAGUAGUAGUUUAGGCCUUUUAACUCAAUUGGCAUGUUAAGGAUCCUUUAAAGCAAUUUUGAUCACUUUGUGCAAGUUUUGGUGUUUUUGUUAGUAUUUCGAUCACCAAAGCAAGUCAAGAAUGAGGAGAGCUAUGAGGAAUCUUGGGCAAAGCUUAGAAUUCAAUUGCCAAGAGUGAAUCCGGAUUGCAAGGAGAAAAAGCAAAGAGGAUCAGUCAUGGAGCAUAUUCUUGAUGACAGUCGUAGCAGCCACUUUUGGAUCACUUUCUGAAGUCCAAAUGAUGCAAGCUAUAUACCAUUUCAAAGCUCAGGAAGUCAACAAUCCAAUGCUUCAAACGGUGUGCGAUUCGGAAUUGAAACGAAGAAGUUGCAGCCAUUACAAGCCAGACACUCUAAAGUGUUGCGGAAUCAGCCAUGUGUUGCGAGAAUUUCGCAGCACUUUUGUACAGUAAGGUGUUUCUCCUUCUAACGAUGCACGAACCAUGCCGCGAGAAGGGAGCUGGAAACUUCAAGAUGGAAGCCAACUUUGCAGCCUAGUGAAGAUAGCUCGGUCUUGCAAGAUAAUUUCGCAGCCCUCUUGGGUGUCUGCGAAAUUUCGCAGGCCUCAUUUUUCACCUGCGAAAUGGCUCUUGAAGCCUCCCGAAGCUUGCUACCGACAUUGGGAGAUAUUUUCCAUUAGAUUUUUGUUGUCUAAAUCCCAAAAUACUCCUUGUAAACCACCAAUUACAUGAUUCCUUAGUUUUUAAGUUAGUAAAAAGACCAAAUAUCUUUGUAACAAUUAGUUUUAUAUUUUGUUGUUAUAAAUACCUCUCGGGAGCCUGUUCUCAGGGAGGAGUUCCUUCUGUAAACGUUUGGUAAGCAAGUAAAGUCUAUUUUCUUUCUACUGCCUUACCUUCUCACUUUGUAUUUUCAUUUUAUUUCUAAGUUAUGAAUUCUCUGAGGAGUUUUCCCCAAAGAAUGAGUAACUAAACCUCCAAUUCCUUGGAGCUAAGGUUGCCGGGGAAGGUUCCAAGUGCAAGAAUGCAAAGCUCUGUGGUUUUAGCUAGUAAUGAAGAGGAAGUGAAAUCCUUUAGUGAUUUCAAUGUUUUUAGUUAACUUAAAACACUUUGGAGUCACCUGGGCCAACACUUGGUAAGGCAAGUGAUUUCCAACCAUGGAAAUGCACUAGUUUACCCCUUGCGAGCCUCUGGUAGGUGACUUCAAGGUAGGAUUUUCUGGAAUUACCAACACUUGGUAAGCUUUUGGACUCCUAGGAGACAUCCAUUAGUUAUCUCUUGCGAGUUUGUGAAGGGAAUCCAAGGUUAAAGAUCACCUUGAAUGGUAAGUGCUCGUGAGAGGCAUGAACCAUUGCAAGUUGUAUCAGUGAGAGAAUUAAAGUGAAAUCUAAUUGAAGGAGUCUUUGUACAUCACCGGUUAGAGAAUUGACUAUAAGUUGAAUCUCUAAUGCGAGGAAAUGAACCAACUGACCAGAGCCGUGUCUUUUGCAUGAGGAACCACCCCAGUGAACCUAAAUCUCCAAGGAAUGUUUUUUUCUUCCUAAAUUAUUCCAAACUUCUGUUAAGUUAGUUAGUUUAAAUCUCAACCUUUACAAAUCAAAGUUUGUGUUUUAUUCCUUAAGCUAACCGUGAAAUGAAACAAGACCAAUUCACUUGGAAUUGGUAUCAUUGAUUGCCUGCAAAUCAUUCCCAGUGAACGAUCCUAGAGCCACUAUACUAUAGUAGCUUUGUAUUUGCUACCCUAGUGUAUGGUGUUAUAGGUAUAAAUUUUGUUGAUCACUUCCUCAAUCAAGGAGCACCAGCUGAACACAAAUCAGCUGAGACACCAAUUAGGCAUGAGUCAAAUGGCGCCGUUGCCGGGGAAUGAAUGUCAAGUUCAUUGUGAUACCAUUGUUGAGCACUUGUGAUUUUCAUCACAAGUUGGUAAAGUUUCUUUCACUUUACUAAUUUUCAUUCUUUCUUUGUUUAUUUACAAUCUAAGUUUAUCUUUUUAAAUUUUAGUCUAGUUUAAUUUUGUUGUUGUAGCCCUGUUUUUCUUGUUGUCCUCUGUUUUCAUUUUUUUUUUCAGGUAGAUACUAGUUGUGUAUGCCCAAGUGGAUACGAGACAUAGGAGGUAGGCUUGUUAAGUGUGAUACACCUCAGAAAGGAGAAUUUGAAGUAAUCUUGAAUAUCAUGGAGGCUGCACCUGAAGAUCAGCAUAGUCACCAAGGUCGUCAAGACAAUCUCAAUGAAUUCAGAUCAAUGAGGGACCGUAUGCAUCCACCUCGUAUGAGUACACCAUCAUGUAUAGUGCCCCCUACAGAGCAGCUAGUGAUCAGACCAUAUCUUGUUCCACUUCUACCAACUUUCCAUGGGAUGGAAAGUGAGAAUCCGUAUGCACACAUCAAGGAAUUUGAAGAUGUUUGUAAUACAUUCCAAGAAGGAGGAGCUUCAAUUGACUUGAUGAGGCUUAAGUUAUUUCCUUUUACUUUAAAGGAUAAGGCCAAAAUUUGGCUUAAUUCUUUAAGGCCAAGGAGUAUCCGCUCUUGGACUGAUUUACAAGCUGAGUUCCUUAAGAAAUUUUUUCCUACUCAUAGAACAAAUGGCUUGAAAAGGCAAAUUUCAAACUUCUCAGCUAAAGAGAAUGAGAAAUUCUAUGAGUGUUGGGAAAGAUACAUGGAAGCUAUAAAUGCUUGUCCUCACCAUGGCUUUGAUACUUGGCUAUUGGUGAGCUAUUUUUAUGAUGGUAUGUCCUCCUCAAUGAAGCAACUCCUCGAGACAAUGUGUGGAGGAGAUUUCAUGAGCAAAAAUCCAGAGGAAGCUAUGGAUUUCUUGAGCUAUGUAGCUGAUGUUUCAAGGGGAUGGGAUGAACCAACUAAAGGAGAAGUGGGAAAGAUGAAGUCUCAGUUGAAUGCUUACAAUGCAAAGGCUGGGAUGUAUAAUUUGAAAGAAGAUGAUGACAUGAAAGCAAAGUUGGCAGCUAUGACAAGAAGAUUGGAGGAGCUGGAGCUGAAAAGAAUGCAUGAAGUGCAAGCUGUUGCUGAAGCACCAGUGCAAGUGAAGCUGUGUCCCAAUUGUCAAUCAUUUGAACAUUUGGUGGAGGAGUGCCCUGCAAUUUCAGUUGAAAGGGAAAUGUAUAGAGAUCAAGCAAAUGUUGUUGGACAAUUUAGGCCCAAUAACAAUGCUCCUUAUGGAAAUACCUACAAUUCAAGUUGGAGGAAUCAUCCAAAUUUCUCAUAGAAGGCCAGAGCAACUCAAUACCAACAGCCGGAUCCACCAUCUCAGCAAUCUUCAAGUAUUGAACAAAUAAUAGCCAAUCUCAGCAAGGUAGUGGGAGAUUUUGUGGGAAAGCAAGAAGCCACCAAUGCUCGAGUUGAUCAAAGAAUGGAUAGAAUGGAGAGUGUGUUGAACAAAAGAAUGGAUGGAAUGCAAAAUGAUAUGAACCAAAAGUUUGAUAACAUCCAAUAUUCAAUUUCAAGGCUUACAAAUUUGAAUACACUGCAAGAAAAAGGAAGAUUUCCUUCUCAACCUAACCAAAAUCCCAAAGGUGUCCAUGAAGUGGAAAGCCAUGAGGGAGAAUCAUCACAGGUGAAAGAUGUGAAAGCUUUGAUCACUCUAAGGAGUGGUAAGAAAAUUGAGCAGCCAACACCCAUGCCACAUGUUGAGAAAGAAGAAGGGAUAAAGAAAGGAAAGGAAAUAGAAGAUAAAGACAGUGAGAUCAGUGAAGAAAAGAAGGACUCUGAUUCAACAAUCAAAGCAAUUCCAGAGAAAGAGCUUCUGAAGGAAGAAAUGCUGAAGAAAUCAACUUUUCCACCUUUUCCUCAAGCAUUACAGGGGAAAAAGGGGGUUAGAAAUGCAGCUGAAAUCCUUGAAGUCUUAAGACAAGUAAAAGUUAAUAUUCCACUGCUGGAUAUGAUCAAACAAGUUCCAACGUAUGCAAAAUUCCUAAAGGACUUGUGUACUAUCAAAAGAGGGGUUGACUGUAAACAAGAAAGCCUUCUUGACUGAGCAAGUAAGUGCAAUCUUACAAUGCAAGUCUCCUUUGAAGUACAAAGACCCUGGAAGUCCUACCAUUUCAGUCAUGAUUGGAGGAAAGGUAGUGGAGAAAGCCUUGCUAGACUUGGGAGCAAGUGUGAAUUUGCUUCCAUACUCUGUCUACAAGCAACUGGGACUUGGAGAGUUGAAGCCAACAGCAAUCACUUUAUCUUUGGCAGAUAGAUCAGUGAAAAUUCCAAGAGGAGUAAUUGAGGAUGUAUUGGUUCAAGUGGAUAAUUUCUACUAUCCAGUAGAUUUUGUUGUUCUUGAUACUGAUCCAACUGUAAAGGAAGCUAAUUUAGUUCCUAUCAUCCUUGGAAGGCCAUUUCUUGCAACUUCAAAUGCAAUCAUCAACUGUAGAAAUGGGCUUAUGCAACUCACUUUUGGUAACAUGACACUGGAUCUCAAUAUUUUCUAUAUGUCUAAAAAGCAAAUCACUCCUGAGGAAGAAGAAGGUCCAGAAGAGCUAUGUAUUAUUGAUACUUUGGUGGAGGAGCACUGCAAUCAGCAUAUGCAAGAUAAGUUGAAUGAAAGUCUUGUGGAUAUUGAGGAAGGUUUUUCUGAAUCUCCUAUUGGGCUUGCUACUCUACAAAGUUGGAGAAAGAUAGAAGGAAUUCUACCUUUGUUCAAUGAAAAAGAGGAGGCAACUGUUGAAGAAGAAAUUCCAAAACUCAAUUUGAAGCCUUUACCUGUGGAGCUGAAAUAUACAUAUCUUGAAGCAAAUAAUCAAUGUCCUGUUGUGAUAUCCUCAUCUCUGACCAGUCAUCAAGAGAAUUGUUUAAUGGAAGUUCUCAUGAGGUGUAAGAAGGCAAUAGGAUGGCAAAUAUCUGACUUGAAAGGCAUUAGUCCUUUAGUUUGUACUCAUCAUAUAUAUAUGGAGGAGGAAGCAAAGCCAAUUCGUCAAUUUCAAAGAAGGUUGAAUCCUCAUCUACAAGAGGUGGUGCGAGCUGAGGUGCUGAAGCUACUUCAAGCAGGAAUCAUUUACCCUAUUUCUGAUAGCCCUUGGGUGAGUCCUACUCAAGUGGUACCAAAGAAGUCAGGGAUCACAGUGAUUCAAAAUGAAAAAGGGGAAGAAAUUACUACACGCCUCACUUCAGGUUGGAGGGUGUGUAUUGAUUAUAGAAAGCUGAAUGCUGUCACCAGGAAGGAUCAUUUUCCAUUGCCAUUUAUUGAUCAAGUGCUGGAGAGAGUCUCUGGACAUCCAUUUUAUUGUUUCUUGGAUGGGUAUUCAGGCUAUUUUCAAAUUGAAAUUGAUUUGGCAGAUCAGGAAAAGACCACUUUUACAUGUCCAUUUGGAACAUUUGCUUAUAGAAGAAUGCCUUUUGGUUUAUGCAAUGCACCUGCUACAUUUCAAAGAUGUAUGUUGAGUAUUUUCAGUGAUAUGGUGGAGAGAAUUAUGGAGGUUUUCAUGGAUGACAUCACCGUAUAUGGAGGUACAUUUGAGGAGUGCUUGGUUAAUUUGGAAGCAGUUCUUCAUAGAUGCAUUGAAAAAGAUUUGGUGCUGAACUGGGAGAAAUGCCAUUUUAUGGUACGUCAAGGAAUUGUCCUUGGCCAUAUCAUCUCUGAAAGAGGCAUUGAAGUUGAUAAAGCAAAGGUGGAGCUUAUUGCCAAAUUACCAUCUCCAACAACUGUGAAAGGAGUAAGACAGUUCCUUGGCCAUGCAGGGUUCUAUAGGAGGUUUAUAAAAGGUUUUUCAAGUCUUUCAAAACCUCUUUGUGAGCUGUUAGCUAAGGAUGCUAAGUUUAUAUGGGAUGAAAGGUGUCAGCAUAGCUUUGAUCAACUGAAGAAGUUUUUAACAACAACUCCAAUAGUGAGAGCCCCUAACUGGCAAUUACCUUUUGAACUGAUGUGUGAUGCCAGUGACUUUGCUAUAGGAGCUGUGCUUGGCCAAAGAGAAGAUGGGAAGCCCUAUGUGAUUUACUAUGCAAGUAAAACACUAAAUGAAGCUCAGAGGAACUACACAACUACAGAGAAAGAAUUGUUAGCUGUGGUAUUUGCUUUGGACAAAUUUCGAGCUUAUUUAGUGGGGUCUUUCAUCAUUGUCUUCACUGACCAUUCAGCCUUGAAGUAUUUAUUGACAAAGCAAGAUGCAAAAGCAAGGUUGAUUAGAUGGAUUCUAUUGUUACAAGAGUUCGAUCUUCAAAUCAAAGAUAAGAAAGGAGUGGAGAAUGUAGUAGCUGACCACUUGUCAAGGUUAGUUAUAGCACAUAAUUCCCAUCCCUUGCCUAUCAAUGAUGAUUUUCCUGAAGAAUCACUCAUGUUCCUAGUGAAAACUCCUUGGUAUGCUCAUAUUGCUAAUUAUUUAGUAACUGGGGAAAUUCCAAGUGAGUGGAAUGCACAGGACAGGAAGCACUUCUUUGCCAAAAUUCAUGCUUAUUAUUGGGAAGAGCCCUUUCUCUUUAAGUAUUGUGCAGAUCAGAUUAUUAGGAAGUGUGUCCCUGAAGAUGAGCAGCAAGGGAUUCUAUCUCAGUGUCAUGAGAAUGCAUGUGGAGGCCACUUUGCCUCUCAGAAAACAGCCAUGAAGGUAUUACAAUCAGGGUUUACUUGGCCAUCUCUUUUCAAAGAUGCCCACAUCAUGUGUAGAAAUUGUGAUAGAUGCCAAAGGCUUGGAAAGCUAACAAAAAGAAAUCAAAUGCCUAUGAACCCCAUUCUGAUAGUUGAGAUAUUUGAUGUUUAGGGCAUUGACUUCAUGGGACCUUUCCCAAUGUCUUUUGGUAAUUCUUACAUUUUGGUGGGGGUAAAUUAUGUUUCUAAAUGGGUUGAGGCAAUCCCCUGUAAGCAAAAUGAUCACAGGGUGGUUCUCAAGUUUCUUAAAGAGAACAUUUUCUCAAGAUUUGGGGUGCCCAAGGCCAUAAUCAGUGAUGGAGGAGCUCAUUUUUGCAACAAACCUUUUGAAGCUCUGUUAUCCAAGUAUGGAGUGAAGCAUAAGGUAGCCACACCUUAUCAUCCUCAGACAUCCGGGCAAGUUGAGCUAGCUAACAGGGAAAUAAAGAACAUUUUGAUGAAAGUGGUGAAUUCCAACAGAAAAGAUUGGUCUAUUAGGCUUCAUGAUUCAUUGUGGGCAUAUAGAACAGCUUAUAAAACUAUUCUUGGGAUGUCUCCCUAUCGUCUUGUCUAUGGCAAAGCAUGCCAUCUCCCUGUGGAAGUUGAAUACAAAGCUUGGUGGGCAAUAAAGAAGCUGAAUAUGGACUUGAUCAAGGCCGGAGAAAAGAGAUUUCUAGACCUUAAUGAGAUGGAGGAAUUAAGAAAUAAUGCUUAUAUCAAUUCCAAAGUUGCAAAACAGAGGAUGAAGAAGUGGCAUGAUCAACUCAUCUCCAACAAGGAAUUUCAGGAAGGGCAAAAAGUUUUGAUGUAUGACACAAGACUCCAUAUCUUUCCUGGGAAGCUCAAAUCAAGGUGGAUUGGUCCAUUUGUUAUUCACCGAGUAUAUUCCAAUGGAGUGGUGGACUUAUUGAAUUCCAAUGGCAAGGAUAGCUUUAAAGUCAAUGGAUAUCGUCUCAAGCCGUUCAUGGAGUCAUUCAAAUCAGAAAAGGAGGCAAUCAACCUCCUUGAACCUCAAAAAGCCUAAGUGAAAAGGGUUUGCUGGACGUGGCUUUACCACAGUCCAAAAUUUUUGUAAAUUUUGUAAAUUUUCAAGUUGUUUCUAUACUUUUGAUUUUAGUUUUUGAUCUUAAAUCAUGUUUUUAGGUGUGUUUUAAUCGUUUUAAAUGAUCCCAGGUGGAAGAAAUUUCAAGGGGAUUGAAAGAAAAAAAAUCGGGUCGAAAUUGGAGCCGAAACAGAGCAAAAACAGGGGAAAAACAGAGCUCUGCGAAAUUUCGCAGGGUGAAGGAAACCUCUGCGAAAUGAGCAUUUUGUUGCGAAACCAUUCCGCAGCACUGUAGAAGCCUCUGCGAGUGUAUUUCGCAGCUGCGAAAGUGAAUUUGGCACACGAGUGCCACUUCGCAGUACAGUAGCAUCCAUUUGGCAGCUGCGAAACUCAUUGCGAAAUGGAAAAGCGUGAUUUCGCACCAAAAGUCCCAUUCCGCAGGGUAUUUCGCAAUUGCGAAAGUGGUUUUGGCACACGAGUGCCACUCCGCAGCACAGUAACAUCAAUUUCGCAGCUGCGAAACUCACUGCGAAGUUGCUGCGAAAAUGGCAAGUUGCUGCGAAAUUGGCGUUUAGUUGCGAAACUUAAACUGACCCCUGAGCUUCCGUUUUUCCUAUUUAUACCGGUCAAAAGUGCUGCGAAAAGGGUUUCAAAAAUCAGAGCACCAUUCUCGCAGCCCCUUCAUCUUCUUCGCCAAGCCACGCCGUCCGAACCUCCGGUCGUCUUCUCCGUUUAGCAGCGCCGGCCAAAGAUCGAUAUUCCAAAAUGGCACGAACGCGAGGGGCAAAAUCUUCAUCCCCUUCGAAUCGCAAAAGGAGUCUGCGAAAGGAGCCAAGUCCAGGUUCUGCUCCAGAACCUGCUCCAAAGCCUUCGCCGUCGAGACCACAACCUUCUCCAGUGAAGCCGGCGCCACUAAAGCCGCCGGCAAGACGAUAUUUGACAAGGUCAGGCGGUUGGCCAUUGAAGAAGAAGCCCAGGGUUGAGAGCUCUGAACCAAUUGAUUUGACUGAGCAAUCCCCUGAGCAGUCCCCAAAUCCUUCACCAGUUCAAACUCCAGUGCCGUCACCGGUUCCCUCGCCAAUUCCCUCACCUGAAGCAACUCCAAUUCCAUCGUCGGUACCAUCUCCGGCACCCCAAGAAAAAGCUCAGGAGCCUCAAGCGCCAAUUCCAGAGCCCCAAAUUGCAGCUGAAGCACCUCUGGAAGAAGUGAUCCGAAGGCCAAUGCUGCCCCAGCCCCCAAUCGAAGGAAACUUGGAUUGUCGAACACGGGCAUUCCAUUCUGAGCUUUGCUUCGAUUUAACAGCAUUCAGAGUGAGGCCAGAGCUUGCCCAAUCCUUCCAGCUGCUGAGGAGAUAUCAUAUGGAGCAUCUGCUAGCUCCAAGGGAUUUUUUCUAUCCCCGGGUAGUCACGGACUUCUACCAGACCAUGACAACCAAAGAAGUAAGAAAUCCAACUCUGAUCCAUUUCAUAAUUGAUGGAAGGCAUGGUAUUUUGGGAGCAAGACACAUUGCUGAAGCUCUGCAAAUUCCUUUUGAGCCAACCCAAUUCGACAAUUUUAAAGCUUGGGUAAAUCCUACUGAGUUAGAGAUGGUUCGCACACUAACCAGAGGAGCUGCAAAUCGAUCACACCUGUUGAGGGGGGAGCUACCUCCAGUGAUGUUUUUGAUUGAUGCCUUUUUGAGGCAUAAUAUCUAUCCCCUGCAGCAUUGGACCCAAAGAAGGGGAAUUCUCCUGGAAGCUUUGUACAAGAUGUCAGAAGGAUUCUUCUUUGGGCCCCAUCAUCUUAUCAUGGCAGCCCUUCUAUACUUUGAGGAAAAGGUUCACAAGAAGAAACUUCAAAGAGCAGAUUGCAUUCCACUCCUCUUCCCAAGGCUGCUAUGCCAAGUUUUGGAGCAUCUCGGAUACCCCUCUGAGCCUCAGCAGGAAAGAAAGAGAAUAUGCCGUGAGCCAUUUACUCUUGAUAAAUGGAAUAAUAUGACGGCCUACAAAAUUGAUCAGCCUGGGCAGCCUCAGCCAGCAGCAAGGAGAGCCUCCCCAAGACAUGCACCUGAAGGUAUAACACUUGCUACUCCUGCCAUCCCUCGAGCUUCACCAGCUGCACCUGCUGCAUCACAGCCAUCCACAUCAGCUGAGCCGAGGAUGGCCAUCCCUAUAUCCGAAUAUCGAGAGCUGUGCCGAGCAUUGGAGACUCUUACAGCUUCCCAGAGCAAUCUUGCUCAAGAGUUGGCAGCCAUCAAAGCAUGCCAGGAGCAGAUGUUAGCCUCUCAGGCUCAACAAGCUGCCAUCCUAAGGCAGCUUCAAGUCCAUUUCGAUCUGCCACAAGCUGUAGAGCCCUCCACUGAGACUCCACCAGAGCCACACUCUCAGCCUUCAGAGUCUCUUCCUCCAGAGCCAGAAGCCCCAACUGAUCCACCUACAGAGGAGGCGGAUCCUUCUGCUUAGCACCAUCACCCCACUCAUCAGACAUUAUAUAUAUUUGCUGUUUAUGUUUUUAUGCAUGUUUGUUUUGUUUUAGUUGAAAUGAAAUCCCAGUAUUUUGGUACUAUAUAUGGGAUUCCUUGUGAUUACUUGUCCUUAGCAUUGUACUCGAAUGAAUUGAAAGUAAUACAAGUUGAAUUUUUCUUGUUAAAAGUUAGCAUUAAAAUUCUCCUUAUUUCCUUUUCUCACAUAUUCUAUUCUUUUUGAAACAUGUGGUUUUCCCCAAUCAAUAUUCGAAUUUGAUAUCAGCAUGGAGGUACCACUUCCUCCCUUUUAUUACAGUCACUCAAAUCACAUUGAGGACAAUGCUCAGUUCGGUUGGGGGGUAUGAGGAAGGAAGUAUUCUAAAUCUUUUUGGUAUUGCAAUUAUAUUGGUUAAUUAGUUGUAGAUUUUACGUUUUACUCUUGUUACUCUAUUCUCCAUGAAUUUUGAGGAAAAAUUUUCAAAUUAAACCAAGAGAAAUUGAACUGUUGUUUUUCACUUGACUUAGAGUAUGGAUUAUGCUUACUAAAGUGGUUCAAUUGUUGAAACUUCUACUGAAAUUGAAUUGAGUUCUUCCAUUUUAAGCUAUCCACACACUGUGCACAUUAGUUUCUGAUUAUAAGAUGAAAAGCUAUUUCCCUCUUGACUUAGGAUAAUUUUGGGACUUGGUAUAUUUGACCUCAUUUGAUAAAAAUUGAAACACCCUGCAAAAGGCCAAUGAGCCUUUGAAAUAAAGAAAGAUGUUUGCUUGCCUUGAAACCCGAGCAAGGUCUGAGGGGCAUAUGGUGAAAGCCUUUAAAGCCUGGUGCCCUAAGCCUUAAUUGGUUGGGAGUCACCGACCUCAAUGCUCGUUACAAGGGUGAAUAGGUAGAGCUAGCAUAUGGUAGAUGCUUGGGUAUUAGAAAUUCAUUCUUAAAAGUCCAGGGAAAAAUCCGAGGAGUUAGUGGUUGAAAGAUCCUUAAAACUUGGUGCCCUAAACCUUAAUUGGUUGGGAGUCAUCGAUGGACCCCCAUUACAUGGACAAGUCAGAAAGAGUACCCCAUAAAGCUACUUUAAAAAAAAAAAAAAAAAAAAAAAAAAGAUGAUGAAAGUGUGUUCUUUUCUUAUUGAUUUUGGUCAGAUUGCUAAAGUGUUGAAAAGAGAUAGGUUGGGGGGGGAGACUAGUUUAGCAUAUUAUUCUCGGAAUCUAAGGAACCAAUACACAUAGAUUUUUGUGGAAGAUUGAAGUUUAGUUCUUAGAAAGUGAAAUGAUUUUAAAACUUCAGUUUGCAUAAUGCACUCCCUUGAUUGACAGUGUUUAGCAUAGGUGUUAUGACUCUUGUUGAGAUUUGGGUUUGUAUUUCUUUAAUGAUUCAUGUGAGAAGUAAAUCAUCAUGCCACUUAAGAAUUAUUUUCCUUUCAGCAUGAUGUUGUAAAUUUUAGAUUAGUUUGCUAUUUAUUUUUAUUUUUCUCUCCUUUAUUGCUAAGGGACUAGCAAUAUGUCGGUUGGGGGGAGUGAUUACUACUCAAAAAGUGCUAUUUGAUAGCCUUUAAUUAAUCCUUUUUAACACUUUUGAGUAGUAGUUUAGGCCUUUUAACUCAAUUGGCAUGUUAAGGAUCCUUUAAAGCAAUUUUGAUCACUUUGUGCAAGUUUUGGUGUUUUUGUUAGUAUUUCGAUCACCAAAGCAAGUCAAGAAUGAGGAGAGCUAUGAGGAAUCUUGGGCAAAGCUUAGAAUUCAAUUGCCAAGAGUGAAUCCGGAUUGCAAGGAGAAAAAGCAAAGAGGAUCAGUCAUGGAGCAUAUUCUUGAUGACAGUCGUAGCAGCCACUUUUGGAGCACUUUCUGAAGUCCAAAUGAUGCAAGCUAUAUACCAUUUCAAAGCUCAGGAAGUCAACAAUCCAAUGCUUCAAACGGUGUGCGAUUCGGAAUUGAAACGAAGAAGUUGCAGCCAUUACAAGCCAGACACUCUAAAGUGUUGCGGAAUCAGCCAUGUGUUGCGAGAAUUUCGCAGCACUUUUGUACAGUAAGGUGUUUCUCCUUCUAACGAUGCACGAACCAUGCCGCGAGAAGGGAGCUGGAAACUUCAAGAUGGAAGCCAACUUGGCAGCCUAGUGAAGAUAGCUCGGUCUUGCAAGAUAAUUUCGCAGCCCUCUUGGGUGUCUGCGAAAUUUCGCAGGCCUCAUUUUUCACCUGCGAAAUGGCUCCUGAAGCCUCCCGAAGCUUGCUACCGACAUUGGGAGAUAUUUUCCAUUAGAUUUUUGUUGUCUAAAUCCCAAAAUACUCCUUGUAAACCACCAAUUACAUGAUUCCUUAGUUUUUAAGUUAGUAAAAAGACCAAAUAUCUUUGUAACAAUUAGUUUUAUAUUUUGUUGUUAUAAAUACCUCUCGGGAGCCUGUUCUCAGGGAGGAGUUCCUUCUGUAAACGUUUGGUAAGCAAGUAAAGUCUAUUUUCUUUCUACUGCCUUACCUUCUCACUUUGUAUUUUCAUUUUAUUUCUAAGUUAUGAAUUCUCUGAGGAGUUUUCCCCAAAGAAUGAGUAACUAAACCUCCAAUUCCUUGGAGCUAAGGUUGCCGGGGAAGGUUCCAAGUGCAAGAAUGCAAAGCUCUGUGGUUUUAGCUAGUAAUGAAGAGGAAGUGAAAUCCUUUAGUGAUUUCAAUGUUUUUAGUUAACUUAAAACACUUUGGAGUCACCUGGGCCAACACUUGGUAAGGCAAGUGAUUUCCAACCAUGGAAAUGCACUAGUUUACCCCUUGCGAGCCUCUGGUAGGUGACUUCAAGGUAGGAUUUUCUGGAAUUACCAACACUUGGUAAGCUUUUGGACUCCUAGGAGACAUCCAUUAGUUAUCUCUUGCGAGUUUGUGAAGGGAAUCCAAGGUUAAAGAUCACCUUGAAUGGUAAGUGCUCGUGAGAGGCAUGAACCAUUGCAAGUUGUAUCAGUGAGAGAAUUAAAGUGAAAUCUAAUUGAAGGAGUCUUUGUACAUCACCGGUUAGAGAAUUGACUAUAAGUUGAAUCUCUAAUGCGAGGAAAUGAACCAACUGACCAGAGCCGUGUCUUUUGCAUGAGGAACCACCCCAGUGAACCUAAAUCUCCAAGGAAUGUUUUUUUCUUCCUAAAUUAUUCCAAACUUCUGUUAAGUUAGUUAGUUUAAAUCUCAACCUUUACAAAUCAAAGUUUGUGUUUUAUUCCUUAAGCUAACCGUGAAAUGAAACAAGACCAAUUCACUUGGAAUUGGUAUCAUUGAUUGCCUGCAAAUCAUUCCCAAUGAACGAUCCUAGAGCCACUAUACUAUAGUAGCUUUGUAUUUACUACCCUAGUGUAUGGUGUUAUAGGUAUAAAUUUUGUUGAUCACUUCCUCAAUCAAGGAGCACCAGCUGAACACAAAUCAGCUGAGACACCAAUUAGGCAUGAGUCAGUCAUCUCCAUUAUUGUUUUAUUUUUUCUUUCCACCACCCCAUUUUGUUGUGGGGUGUAUGGUGCAAUGAGCUGGUGAUCUAUGCCUGCAUCUUCACAAAAUUUGUUGAAUUUUUCUGAAGUAUAUUCUGUACCAUUAUUCGACCUUAUAACCUUGAUUCUGUAUUCACUUUGAUUUUCAACCAUGGCCUUAUAUCUCAAAAACACAUCAGCAACCUCAGCUUUGUAAGUGAGAAAAUAAAUCCAACAAAAUCUUGUGAAGUCAUCAAUAAAUGCAAUAUAGUACUUACUCCCUUUCAAAGAUGGUGUCUUUUGAGGUCCACUCACAUCUGUGUGAACCAAUUGUAGUUUCUGUGUUGAUUUCCAUGCUGCUUUUUGAGGAAAAGGAAGUCUUGUUUGCUUCCCAUAUUGAUAGGCUGCACAUAUAGGAAGUUCUUCUUCCAAAUCAGGGAGUCCUUCUACAAUCUAAUUCUUCUUCAUGUAGAGCACGGUAUUGUGGUGGAAAUGCCCUAAUCUUUUAUGCCAAAGCAUUGUAUUGUUCUCGUGUUGUGCAGCAGUAAUUUGCUCAUCUUCUAACAUAUUUAAGGCAAAACUUUUGCCUUUCAUUUUUAUGUUGAACACCUCUUUGCCUUCAGCAUCCUUGAUUAUGCAAUUUUUGUCUUCAAAACAAACUUUAAACCCUUUCUCAACAAGCUGUCCAACACUUAGCAAAUUUUGGUCAAUGUCAGGCACAAACAAAACAUCAGAAAUGAGCUUUAAACCUGUUAGGCUUUCAAUAGCUAAUGUUCUUUUACCUUUUACUGGAAUAUACUCACCAUUUCCUAUUCUAACUUUGGAAAUAGUUGUCCUAUCAAUCUCCCUAAAGCGAUCUUGAUCAUGUCAUGUGGUUUGUGCAACCACUGUCCACGAGCCAGCUUUCAGAGGUGCUACCGUUUGCAAAACAUGUUGCUGAAAAUAGUUGUUCCUCCUGGUAUUGUUCAGCUGCUACAUUGGUUUCUCCCUGCUGCUGCUGAGUUCUACAGAUCCUUUCUAUGUGUCCAUGUCUACCACAUUUGUUGCAUUUCACAUCUGGUCUCCACCAACAUUUUUGUUGAGGAUGAUUUGUUUUCUUGCAAUGAGGACAGGGUGGAUAGGUUCCAGUUUUUUUAUUGUUGUUGUUGCUUGGCUUAUUGUUGUUCUUUUUGUUCUUCCUCCUUCUUGUGUUACCUUCAUUGGUCUGUGUCUUUGCUUGAAAAGCUCCUUCUACAGAACUUCCUUGCCUCAUGAGUCUUCUUUGUUCCAAAGCUUGUAAAGCAUUUAGUAGUUCUGCCAAGGUGAUACUUGACAAAUCUUUUGUGUUUUCCAAAGAAGAAAUUGUAGCUUCAUAUUUUUCAGGAAUUGUGACAAAAUUGUUUUGAACAACUCUUUCAUCAGAAAACUCUUUACCUAGCAACCUCACCUUGUUUGCUAUGGUAAGAAGUUGUUCUGCAUAAUCUUUUAUGGUUUGAGACUCUUUCAUCCUCACCAUUUCAAAUUCUCGAAUUAGAUUCAUUACCUGCACAUUUCUGACUCUUUCAUUGCCUUGAUAUUCUUCCCGUAGAUGCUUCCAGAUUUCUGCAACAGAUUCAAGUUGCAUGAUUCUGGUGAGAAUUAAUGGUGAGACUACAGAAAAUAAGCAAGCCUUGGCCUUAGCCUUCCUCGUCUUUUUCUCCUUAUGGUUUUUCAUCUGUGACACAGUUGGAUUGGCUCCAAGUGGAGAAAUUUCAUAAUCUUCCUCUAUUGCUUCCCAGACAUCAAGAGCCUGUAGAUGAACAGUCAUCCUGACAGCCUAAGUUUGGUAAUUUUCUCCAUUGAAGACUAGUGGUGCUGCUGUGAAGCUUGCUUCUUCCAUUUCUGCAAGGUUUUCAGAUUCAGGUUUGGUAUACGGUGUUUAGGCUCACACACCUCACUGGUCCCUCAAGACAAAAAUUGCUCUGAUACCAAACUGUUGGAAGCAGGCGAGGUUAACACACCAAGCAACAGAGAACAGAGAUAUGCUGCUACUGAUCUAUAUUUUUUAUUUGAUCAUAAGGCUGAAUUUAUACAGAUUGUGUAACAUAUAUGACCUCAAAAAAAGCAUCAAAUCAAGCUACUUGUUGAACAAAAAACUACCUCCUACAAAAUAGCAUCAGAAUUUAACUUAAAAGCAAAAACAUAAUAAUAGCAACAGCAAAAACAGAAACAUAAAAAUAGCUUCAACAUUCUAGUAAUCUCAUUGACUUCAAUUGCAUGUGGUUGACGAUUUCAGCCUUUUCCUCAGCAGCUACUAAGGCAUAACUCUCAACAGGGCCUCUUAAUUUCCAUUCUGGCAUCUAUAUGACCUGAUAAAUAGAAAGAAAAAAAAACAGAAGAAAAGCGGCACCUGGGUUCAUAGUAAGCAUCAAGACAGGAUGCUGAAAGAAGGGAGAGAGGAGAUUGCAAGUCCAAUCCUGAUAAAAUAUCAACAAAGAGUAUUAAAUGGGGCCAACAUAAAGACCCAUUAAGGUCAGCAGAUGGCAUGGCAUUUUUCUCCUUAAGUUUUCCAUGAUUAGGCUUGAAGUCAAAAUUUCACAUGUAAAUUUGUAUUUCUACAUUUCCCACUGACGACACCCAACUUCAACUUGAGUUAGAAUAACAUUGUGUGAACUUAUCUGGCCCUCAAAAUUUACUGUGAAGUGCUUUCUGCGUGUGAAGAUUCAGAAAAGCACCAAGGGAACAUGUAUGGUCUGCCUUUUUCUGAUGUUAUGUUUGUCUCUAAUUCUGUUCCAUGUCAUGGUAAAUGUUCACAUUGCUUGUAUGGAACACACCAGGAUCACUUUUUCAGGUUUAGGGGGAUACAAAAGGCUUCAUAUUGGGUUCAAUGCUUUUAAUGUGUUCAUUGGACAAAUCUGAAUUAUCAUACGCAUUUAGAUAAGAACAAUAAUGUGAAACCCUAGUUACACCUCCCCUGCAUAACCCCAACCCUGCUUGCUCUAUUUCAGUUUACUCACAAGUUUUACUGGUUCUUAUAAGUCAAGAAAAGGCAACUGAUGUUGGAUCGACUCUCUUCCAUGUAAAAAAUGCAACUUUUAUACAUAUAAAAGAACUUCUUCCCCUCACCAAUGUGGGAUUUCAUAGAUUUAUUCUGGAAACACAUCAAAGGAACAUCUUUUCUCUUGGGUGACCCUAAGUGGUGAGUCAGAUCAUUUGCAUGCCAUUGAGUUGCACAGUUGGAUAAAUGCACCUGCCUCCUGGGCUCCAGAGUUAAAAGGGUGGAUCCCUGGAUUGCAACCCUCUUGGCAUCUUGGUUUCUAUUCCAACAUCCACAUGACUUGACAAAACAAAAAACAGAAUAAAAUCAGCACUAUAUUCAUGCUAAGCACCAAUACAUGAUGGAAAUCAUUGCUUAAAGAUUUGGGGUCGUUUUAGGUUUUGACUGCCUCCUACCACCUCACCUAAUGACAAGUUUUUAUGCUUACAAAUCAAAUAUCGUUCUUCAUUAUAUUAAAAUCAUUUUAAGAUUUCAGAUCCAUCUGCUAAUUAUGAUUAUGAUAACAUUUAUUCACCUGUGCUUCUCAUUUUCGACACACAAGGCAUCUAGGUUUGCAGGAUUUCCUUAUUAGAUGAGAUAAAUGAGUACGUAUGGUUAUGUAUCCAGCAUUCAUUAACCAUGGUAUGUGACAUUUAGAAUUAAGAUAGCAAGCAAACUUUCCCUGCAGCUAGAGUAAAUUGUGAUUUCUUAGCCUCUAUGAGUGGUUCCCAAAUCAAAUUAACAUAGUGAAAUAUACGUAGUCCAGUGAAAGGAAAUGUAAAUUAUAAACUAACAGCACUACACUACUGGUAACAAUCGAUACUCUCUAUAUAAUGCAAUAAACAAUGUCACAAUUGCCUACAAGCAAGGCACAAACACUAGAACAAGUAAAGCACAAACCUUUCCCAACAGUUCCCAGUGACUGAUGCAUAUCAUACCCUCAACUCACAGAAGGGGAUGAUAUCAGUGCACUGCAGCACUUAUUUUACACAUACUACCACUACUACUACUACUACUACUACUCAUUAGCCAAAGUCACUCAGUUGGGAUGAGUGUGAGGUAGAGGUUUGUGGGGUGCUAUGUGGAAAGGAGUUUGGCUUCUUCUCAGGAGAUGGUAGCUUCUUUGCAGGAGUUGAAGGAGGCUUAAUCUUCUGUGGUGGAUUGAUUGUAUGAGUCUUUGGCACUCUCUUCUCUAGUACAGGUGAAUACCCAGGGGUGCAUCCAUAAUGCGGUGGCUUCUAUCCCUUAGGUGGUUUGCCAAAUUCAAAAUCGAAGGAUUUUUUUUUUUUAAGUAUACGUAUCUUUGAAAGCUUUUAUUUUGUAUGGCAAAUGGAAUGAGAGGAGCAGUCAUAUUCUAUUUGGCCAGAGCAACAUAUCACAAAUGAACAAGCUAUUUACUGCCACACUGGGCAAAACAUACAUAAUCCUUGUACUUCAAACAUCCAUGAAUUCUCAUCAUUUUCAGGACACGUUGCAUGGUCUAUCAUUCUAUAUGUCGGCAUAGUAAGUGCAGCUAAUAAGCCUAUUCAGAGCUGAAAUUCAAAAUCUAUUCACAGGAUAAUGACCUUAUUAUUGGAUUUUGCUCACUGUCAUACACACAUAUCAGAUAAAGCCCCACAUGCUCAUAAGCUACAAGCAACCUACAAGCACUAAAAUGAGUGUUAGACGUAUGAAACAUUCCCCAAUACUAGUAGUAUUACCUGUUCCAUAGAACACUAAAUUAGAAGAGAGAAGAUGUGAGACUCCAGCUUUUCUUUCUACAUAUUACUCAUAUCAAGUUGGAAUAGUUAGGCGGUAGAGGCUUGGGGUGGCUUGUGUAGGGGACUAGGCAGCUUCUCUCAGGAGUUGAUUUCGUCUUAUUCUGGAUGUCCAGGUUUCGUCCUUUCGAAUUUCCCAUGCAAAUCAGCAUUCUCCUUGGGAAACUUCACUCCGUUGGGAAACUUGUGUGAAUCUUUGGCAUUCUCUACCAGAGAAGGCCCAGGGCAGUGACCAUAAGGUGGUGGCCUUUUUUCAGGUGGUGGCUCCUCUCCCACUGGAGGCUUGUGGUAAUCAGCAAGAGAGGCAGUGGAGAGAAUCAUCACCCCAAGGAACAGCACUAGCAAGUAUUUGUGAGCCAUAUUUGGGAUCUGAUGAUGAAGACUAGAAGAUAGGAGUUGCCUCAUAUAAUGGGUUGGAGACUAUAUCUCAAGGGGACGUGUAUUUAUGCAUAUGAUCUAUAUAGGACCAUCCUCCUAAUAUUUUCAAAAUAAUGUUAUUGUCUCUCUUGGGUGACAGUUUGAUUUGGUCUAUUUCCAUGCCACUGAGUAGAAAAGUUUGACAAUUGGCUACACCACCUACCUGGAUUACAUGGUUGAAAGUGAAGAUCAGUACAGUGUGAUCACACUUGACCUCUUGUUCCCCAUUCCAGUAUCUAAUUAACCUGACAAAAGUAAAAGGAAAGGAAAAAGGGAAAAAAUAGAAUAAUGUUCAAAUAAAAACGAGAAAAAAUAGCAUAAUGUUGAUGAAUCAUGAUAAGCAUCAAGGCAUGAUAGUGAGAGAGAGGAAAGAAGACAGUGUAAUUUGCAAUCCUGAUAAUCAUUAUAUAGCAGUAACUUUAAUCAUUUUUCUAUCACAGGGAACAUGACACUCAUCUUCCUAUGGAGAUAUUGCAUAAGUUUUUUUCUUUGUAUGUCAACACUAACCAAUGAAGCAUGUUAGCUGGUUUGAAACUGAAACUGUAGCCCUCUGUUUGGUUCUUGAAAAACUUGAGAGAAAAUGGAAGUAAAGUUAAAAGGAAAGAAAAAGUGAAAAAAAAUAAAAAUAGAUUGAAAGUUAACAAAUUAUUUUUACAUGUUCCCUCAAAUUUCUUUCACUUAUUUUUCCUUUUCUAUAUAAAGAUUAAAUGAUUUAAAAAUCAUAAAUUUCUAACUAAUUAUAACUAUAUUUGAUUUUCUUUCAUAUUUUCCAAGAUAAAGUCAGACAUGAGAAAAUCAUUUUCCUUAAAAAAGAAAUUCUUUCCUUUACAGUUUCUUAGAACCAAACCUGGCACAAAAGUCCAAAUUGGGGUUUCUCCAUGUUCCAUUUUUUAUGGCUACCUUUAUGGACCAUAUAAUAUAGAAUGUACUUCUGCAUACCUUCAAGAUCAAGCUGAACUAUAAGAAAAAGACAAGCCAUGGCCCACGGAGCAGGGAUACCAAGCUGCCUUCUCCUAGAUUAAGUUCCAAGAUUUCAGUCUUCAAACCUGCUAAAAGCUAAAGGCAUGUUUCCAGCCUGCGGCAGAUAACAUGCACUGUCCAACAAUAAAUUGCAAACACAUUCGAUGCAGUUUAUUAGUACAAUAAGAUUAAAUCCACCAAAUCUUUUACAGUUCAACCAACACUUGAACUAGUAGCUAGCUUCACUACUGGGUAAUAAUAUAUAAACCAAACUCUUGAUAGGAACCAACCUAUCGCAGAUCGAACUUCUUACAUCCACCAUGAAUUACUGAACCAAAAGAAGAAUCGAAGAGACUGCCAAGGAGGAAAGCCUUCCUAUAACUAGAUAUUUAUAUUCCAAAUUAGGGAGAGCACCCACUGCCCAGGCCUCGCCCAGCAUAAACAGAUAGUAUACAUAUACAUGCAAAAAGCUCCAACCUUCAAGAUUUUAACUAUUAACUUAACACAAUUAAAAAUGUAUCCAAAAAGCAAAUCCCCUUGAACUCCUGAAGCAAUUACUCCAACCAAAUAAAGAUUUUAAGAGUUCCAUGUUCAUAUCCUGCAAGGAAAUCAUUCAAUGUUCAGACCUCUAAUUUCUGUCUUUCUAAAUGCCCAGCCAAAAGGCAUAAAGUAUCAUCCAAAUUGGAUGCACAGCAUAUGUUCUUAAAUCAUGGGAUUUCACCAUAAGUUACUACACUCUAACAGGGCCCAGAAAUUGACCUCCAGAUAUGCCUAUCAAAAAAUUAUCCCCACAUACAUUUUUCUGCUGAAAAGACAAUAUUGUUACAUUUGACAUUCAACCACUACUUGAACUCAACAACCAGGGAAAAGAAUAUAGUAUUUCUACCAAUGAGGAUGAGAGGGGCUGGUGAAUUAACAGGUAAAAGUUUGUUUUGGGUUCAUUGUUUGCAUAAUAAUGUAAAAAUGGAGUAGUAUAUUAUAAAUUAAUGUAAAAAUGGAUUAGCAUAACAUAAAUUGCCAUAAGAGAACCACAAACUACAAAGAAACUUAUUUUCCAAACAAGGAAAAUUAUUCAUAGCCAUUAUUACAUAAGAAAGGAAAUUGAUAAAAUUAUUAUCCAGUUCCCCAUCAGGAAAUAUGAAAGUACUCCUAAAAGCCUCAAUUCUAACCAGAAAACCAUAGAAAUGUAUUAGAAAUAUUGUACAGGGUUCUCUCCAAUAUUAGCUUCAGUUGCUAAGGAGAUCAGAACCUUGAAAGUAAGUCACAAAGGUCGUGUGGGUUUCCCAGAGUCUUCAACAACCAGUAUUCACAUAUGUACACAUUAAAAUUAAAUAAAGCAGGUAUCAAUUCCACAGGCUUUAAGAUUUGAAUUGCUUCUCCCUGGAAUCAUACACCACUCAUAUUGUCACUGACUUUCAAUUACUUCUCCCUGCGAUCAUAUGCCACUCAUAUUGUCACUGCCUUAGGGAACAAAGUGAAAAUCUGCAAUUUCAAUUAAUUCCAACAUAAAAAUAAAAAUCAAUCCUCAAAAAAUGGAUUGCCAGGAGGUAAAUAUAAUAGAAGACGAACAACUCUCACAACCAAGUUAAAGAAACCAGCCGCUAGGUACCUUUGAGUUCUAUACUACCAGGAACAAAUUGGAUGAGAUUAUUUAAAGGCUAUUCCACAGUGGAAAUUCAUUCGUUCAAAAAACAUUUGUCAUGCAUAUAGGCAAUCUAUCCUAUGCAUUCAUACAUCAUGGUCUCAUGCAAUCUUAAUAAAAGUGGUCCUGGAAAAAGAGAGAAAAAAGUAAUUACAAGCCUGUGCGACCAGAUUUCUUUUGUUUUUUUUUUUUUUUUCCUUUGCCAAACAACCAUGUUCAUAGUUUCAGAAGUUCAUUCUGUCUUUAAGAGACCAUGGCAGUGACUUGGCCAUUCAGCUAAGANNNNNNNNNNNNNNNNNNNNNNNNNNNNNNNNNNNNNNNNNNNNNNNNNNNNNNNNNNNNNNNNNNNNNNNNNNNNNNNNNNNNNNNNNNNNNNNNNNNNUCACCAAGGACUCCUCAACCUCAAAAUAAUAGAGAAAGUCUAGGACACCAUGUCACUACUGAGGACAACCCAACACCACAACAUUUCAGUCCGUUCAAAAAGAGUAAUUGGAAUUGUUGCAAAAAAUGUUCAACUAGUCCCAACAGGAGGCAAAUUCCUCCAUUUCUUCAUCGGGUCCGGAUCCUUUGCUCAAAAAGGUAAUUUUCUUACUGCCCUAAAAGAAAAAGGGAAAAUGUGAGUCAUUGGAUUGUUGACUCAGGAGCUUUUGAUCACAUGACUAGAGUGCCACAAUUUUUCAAAAUUAUACACCUUGUUUUGGGGAUGAUACAAUUCGUAUGGCUGAUGGUUCUCUCUCAAAGGUGACUGGUACAAGUUUUAUUGUCAUCUCUAAGGACCUAACUCUUGACUCUAUUCUUUUGGUUCCAAACUUGGAUUGCAAUCUAUUGUCCAUUAGUAAACUCACUUAUGAAAAGAACUAUGUUACUAAAUUUUUCCCAAACCAUUGUGUUUUUUAGAAUUUGAAUUCGGGGAAGACGAUUGGCAAUGUUGAAGUGUGUUUAGGACUCUAUGCCUUCAAAGUGAAUUAUUAUAUUGAAAGACAAUCUUAACCAACAGUUGGUGAAAAAUGGUGUCUUUUUGUCUUUAGUUCUAAUAAAGAUAGUGAUGUUAUGUUAUAGCACUAUUGUCUAGGACAUCCUAGUUUCUUAUAUCUCAAAAAACUCUUUCCAUGGUUUUCAGUGUGAAAUUUGUCAACUAUCCAAGCAUCUUUGCAAGCCCUAUCCAUAGUUUUAAAAGACUUAAGGCACACCAAGACGCAAAGUCCUCUUGGAGCCUUAGGCGCAAGGCACACCUAAGGCGCGAACUUUAGUAAAGUGAGGUGCAUCCUGUUUUACAUAUAUAUUUUUAUAUAAUACAAUCAAGUGCCCGAAAAUUUUCCUCUAAUUUUCCCCUUCUUCUUCAUCCUCUUCUCUUCUUCACAUUGUUCGGGAGGCUAGGACAUUUUUUUUUUUUUACAUGUCUAAAACAAGCAUAUAUUGGGUUUUGGAAGAAGAACAAGCCAAAAUGACAUCGUUUUGGAGCCUAAUCUUUUAAAUAAAUAAAUAAAUAAAUAAAAACCAGCCAAAAAUGACACCGUUUUGGCCCCUGUUCUUUUAAAAGAACAAACCAAACAACGUCAUUUUGAUCUCAGGAAAUUAAAAAAACAAAACCCUCGUCAUUCUCCCUUUGCUACUCUACAACUCAUCGUCAAAGGGUAAAAAGAUGACCAAAAGAAGAAGAAGAAAAAAAAAAAACGACGACAGAGGAUAGAGGUGCACCUGUUGAGGGCGUUGCGCCUAGCCAAGAGGCGAGCGCCUUGCACACUUAAUCAACGCCUCUGUGAAGGGGCGGCUCCUGCAAUCAGGCGAAGCGCUGAAGGGUGAUGUCACAUCGUCUAGAGCCUAGGCGCACCUUUCACAACUAUGACCCUAUCCAACUCAACCAUACAAACCAUCUCAUCUUUUUUCCAUACAUAGUGAUGUUUGGAGGUCAUCUAAAAUAAAGAACAUAACAGGGACUAGAUGGUUGAUGAUCAUACUAGAAUUUCUUAGAUAUUUCUAAUGAAAAAAAAAUCAAAAAUUAGUCAAAUUUUCUAAAAGUGGACCAGAAUUUCUUUAUUGAAUUAAAAAGUUGAAAUUAAUAUUUUGGAAAAGUUAGGGCCGCUCAAGAGGUAGAAAUAGCGCUCGAGUGGUAGAAAUAGCGCUCGAGUGGUAGAAAUAGCCCUCAAGUGGUAGAAAUAGCGCUCAAGCGCUAGGACCGCUCAAGCACUUAACUAGCGCUUGAGCGCUCAUAUAGAAUCUGCCAGAAUAUGGAAGAAUAUUUUUUGGAUAAUCAUGAAAAUUGGAUUUGGAAACUUUAGAAUAUCAAUCUCCUUCGGCCUAGAGGUUUAUAUAAACCCUAUUAUAACCCUUUAGGGUUAAGAAAUUCACCAAGUGGUUUACCCUAACUUGUCAUACCAUUCCCGAUCUCUCAUCAAGGAAUCAAAGUGUUUAAUCUUGGGUUGUUUGAAGACCUGCAUCCCUUCAACAAGGCUAAGGUGUAUUCACUAGAACAAUUGAAAUUGUUGCAUUGCGGACAUGAAUCAAGUUGCAGGUUCUAGAGAGUAAGUCUUUAGAAUAAAGCAGACAAAGAGUUCUAUGUGACUUUAUCUCAUAUAGUGGAUUUAGCUUUGAGGUCUUAGACCUCGUGGGUUUUUAUCUCCAUAGUUAGUGUGGGGGUUUUCCACAUAAAAAUUAUUGUGUCUCUUGAUCUUAUGUUUGAUUUUAGAUAUUCUAUUUAUCCCUGAUAUCUCACAGGUUAACUUUAGGUUAAAAAUUCAACUCCCUAUUUAAUAAUUUUUAAAAUACACCCAUUCACGAGUGUUAUCCUACUGGACAUUGGUUUUUCACCAUAUAUAACACUCAUACCAAAACCCAUGCAACAUGGACUCCAACCUUAAGCUUAACUUUCUACGAAUGGAAAAAAAAAAAGACAUAACAUAAAUAGACAGAUUUAACAACAUGCUCCUAAUCAAGGUGAAUGUCCCUCUUUUUGAAAGAUAUGACCUUUUCCAUACGAGGAGCUUUCUUUAAAAUUUCACCUCUACCAAUUCCCAUGCCUUUACAAAGUUGUGGAAAGCUCCAAAGAGAAGGCCCAGACAUGUAAUGGGUAGAUUCCCUACCUUAGAACCUUACACCAAAGCUAAACCCCUAAUAUUUGUGACUUCUAUAAGAAUCAAUUCAUUUUUUUCCAUAUUUAUUUCUAAAUCAGACAUUGCCUCAAACCACAUGAAGUUAUAACUUGGAUGUUACAGAUGCUCUUAAUUAGUGUCACAAAAAAAUAGGGUAUCAUCAUCAAACAAGAAAUGUGACACUUCCAUCCCCUCCUCCUGUCUUCCUCCCACUUUGAAACUUGAGAUGUAACCCCUUUUAUCUAAUUCUCCUCAAAAUUCAAUUGAAAGCCUUCAUUGCCAAUAUGAAAAUGUAAGGGGAGAGAGGAUCUUUCUACCUCAAAUCCCUUGAGCUCUCAAAGAAACUGAAUAGGACACUAUUUACUAGAAUAGAGAAUUGAGUAGUGGAAAUGAACCAUUUGAUCCACCUCACCCACUUAUGAUCAAAGUCCAUUUUAUCCAACAUCAUUAACAAAAAGUUCCAAUUUACAUGGCCAUCGUCCUUUCCAAUGUCUAACUUGCAAAUUACCCCACUAUUGGGACUCUUUAACCUUGAAUCUAGAGCAUCAUUUAUGAUUAGAACUGCAUCUAGAAAUUGUCUGUCUUCCACAAAAGCAUGCAAAUAAACUAAAACUAUUUUACCCACCACAUUUUUUAGUCUUUUAGCCAAGACUUUUUCCAAUAGCUUGUACAAAAAAACCCCCAACUAAGCUAAUCAAUGUAAAAAAUUUUAGGUUCUCUGCUGCACCUAUAUUAGGGAUCAAGACCAAGAACAUGACAUUUAAAUUUUGCUCAAAGGAACAAUUAUCAAAAAACUCCCCAAGCUCAUUUGCCAAAAUAUUAUAAUAAAUCCAUUUGGCCCCUACAGCUUUAUCCCCACUCAAGCUAGACAAGGCAACAAGAAAUUCCUCAUCAAAGAAAGGUAACUCCAAUUUCCUAGAAUCAGCACAUAGCAUAACUUCAAAGGUCAUCCCAUUAAUGUUGAGUCUCCACUCGCCCAUAUCAGAUAGGAGAUUUUGGAAGGCCCUAAACUCCCCUUCCUUUAUAUUUGCUUCCCAAGCAACCAUUUUGCAUUCACUCAAAUUUUAAACAUGAAGUUUUUUAUUCUUUGGGCAUUGACCAUUUCAUGGAAAAUUUUGGUGUUUUUAUCCACCCCCUCUUUUAACCAAAUUUCUCUUUAUUUUUGCCCCCAUACAUAUAGAUUCUUCUAACAAGGCCCACUUGCUAAACUCAAUCACCACUAACCUUUGGCCUCAACGAUUUCAAGAGAUAAGGUAACUGCUCUCUACUUUGAGUCCCAGAAGUUGAUCCAGUUUAGCACCUCUAGGUUUUUUGUUGAGACAUUCCCAAAACCUUCUUCAUUCCAAGAUUUUAAAUCUCGUUUGACAGCCUUUAGUUUAACUUCCAAAAUAUGACCAUACAAGCCAUCCACAUUAUAACCAUCAACCAACUCCUCACAAAAUCUUUUAAGCCUUUUGUUUUAGGCUACAUAUUUUAAAAUGUAAACUGUGUUUUCCCACUCCUUAUCCUACCUCCAUCUAAAACUAUGGGGUAAUGACCAAAAAUUGGUUUAGGUAAAAUACUCUAGAUUAAAGUAGAAAAACGAUUCUACCAAUCAUCUGACACUAGGAAAUGGCCAAGCUAGCCUUGAAGAAGACAAAAGAUUAUGAACACCACUCCAAGUGAAUAGCCCUCCAACUAGCGAAAGAUCCCAAGGUCAAGUCCUCUAUGUCCUCUGAAAAGAACCUCAUAUCAAACAACAUUCUAAGGCAAUUCCUCCUUUUCAUGGGGAACUUGACCAUAUUAAAAUCCCCUCUGAAGCACUAGAGGUCAUCCCAAAGGCCUCUUAUGGCACCCAACUCUACCCAGAAAUCCACUCUUUCUCCCCUUUAAACCAACCCAUAAACUCUUACGUAUACCUAGACAAAGCUAUCUUCACAAUUCAUAGACAAGCAAUAGAGAAUGCUUCCACCUCCUUACCAAUUAACUCUAAUACCCUACUAUCUUGGAAAACCAAAAUGCCUACUAUCAAGCUUCUAACUUCCAAUACCAUUUCAAAAAUUUUCCUACUCCUAAACUCCUUACCAGUUGAACGAACAUCUAUCGAACCUUGGUUUCUUGUUAACAAACUAGAUCAACCCCUUGAGACCUUAUCAAUGACUUUAUUAUCAUAUACUUUUCCUCAUCAUUUGCUCAUUUGACAUUCCAAGACAGGAUUUUUAGCUUCAUCAUGCAACCUAUGUUGGAUCCUAACUGCUACUCUUGGAGCCCUUUUCCUUUUUGUUGAGCUUUUAUAAUUGACUAAGCAUCCCAACUUGUUGAGGUCCCUCUCAAACCAAGAUAUCGAGGUUAACUUCCUCUUCACCUCCAACGAAAAAACAGAAACCCCUCUCCUUAGCCUGCCACACAAGGGAAAAGAUCUCUUUUUCAAAUCCAUCAACUGGCAUUCUUGAGAAACUAUUGAAAUUUGCCAACUUACAAGAUAUACAAUUGGAGGAGUGCUUCUCUACCAAACAACUACUAAAAUUCACCUCAAAGGUGACCUUUUCCCCUGAUCUCUCCCCGGCCUCCAUACCCACUGACCCUUUCACAAAAUUUUCUAGAAUUUCCACUAUCAAGCCGUUACGGAGAACCAUCCUCAACAAACUCCUUUGACUAAUGUGAAAAACCCCACCCAAGAGCAUCUUCCAGAAGUUAACUUACAAGAUUAACUAUAAUCUUGUGAAGACUCGUUACCUAAUGGGUAAAAAAUUUGAAAUUCUAUUAGUAUAAUUCUUUUUAGGCACAAAAGCUGUGAAAAUAGCAUUGGUGCUCUAAUUAAUAACCCCAUAAUUAUUAAGCAAUAAAACAACUUUUAAUAAAUUCUCUUUCACCACAUCCCACCAAUCCUAAUGCAAAAAAGCUAGGAAAAAGUCAUCAUUGCUCUAAGCAUUUCUCCUCACUAGUUGAAAGACUGCUUUAUGAACUUCCUCUUCGACAAAAGGACAAUCCAACCAAUUAGCACCAUUUUCCAAAAUGAGAGACCAACCCCCACUCUUCUAUCCUCUAAGGAUCUUCAUAUAACCAUUAAUGCCUUUCUAUACCAGCUAGUAUAUAUCGGGUUUUGGGCAAGUCCUAUAAAUUGGUUUGAGUAAGAUUUUUAAUUACCCUGUUCUUUCUUUUUAGUUGAUAAAUAUGCAUAUAUGUAGUAAUUCAUACAUCAGAAAAGAUUUUGCUAAAACAAAAGAAUUGACAUGCAGAUAGUGACUUCUUGAUAAGAGUAAUAGCUUAAGGGAGGAAAAUGAACUCCUCCAGUGGCCCCAAAGUGGUAAGUUCCUUCAGAUCCCAUGUUGCUAUUCUGCAUUUCUUUGUGUUUUGGCAUCAGCCCUCUUAAUUAAUUCACUAUCCAGCUUCUCAAAUUCCUCGGAUUCUUCCCUUGUUCUUGUGGAAACAUCUGCAUCUUGUCCUUGCAUUGUUAUGGAUUGGUGAUUAUCAUUCUUUGAGAACUGUGUGGCAGCUGCUCGUGCACCAGCUAUGGCUGCAAGGAGACCUUCUGGUUUCUUGUCUUCAGCAGCUUUGGAGCCAUCAAAGCAAGAAACAAGUAAUCCUGGUUUCAAAGAGAGGGGAUCUUGUGGUUCUGGAAGCAGAAACUUGACAGGUAGUGGAGCUUGAACAGGACGAAGACCCCUAACUGCUGCCUCAUAUAUCUGCAACAAUUUCAGGGGGGAUAAGUAAUUAAAAAUCAGUCACUCUAUUGCAUUAGUUAGACUUGCUUUCAAUGCGAUAGCAAAGAAAGAAUCAUCAAUGAAAAAAGAAAAAAUAAAUGAAAAAGAACAAAAAGGAGAGGGAAAAAAAAAUGAUGGGUGCUCAAUUUGUACUUUUCUUUCCAGGUUAUAAAUACGUUGGUACCCGCGCAUCUCAAAUGGUAUGAUUAAUUUCUGCAUCAGGUCAGGAGAACUAAGUCCAUCAAUAUACUAAAAAGCAAAUAUACCAAAAGGCAAGCAAAAAUGUUUAACCAUCUUGAGUGUCAAACUCUCCAAGAAACUAUAUACUUUUAGCUGAAUGAAAACACAUGCCUGUGGUUGCUCACAGAGCCAGCAAAACUCUGUUUGCGCUUCUAGCCUUACCUACAAAUAGAGUUUAGGUUAUCCAACCAAAAUGGAGAUACAUCACACAAAACAAACUGUACCUAAUCAGUUUACGAAGGGGACGGGGGGAAGCAAAAAGCAAAAGUAAAUUUCUAAGAUGCCCACCCCUUCAGGUACCUCCUUCCAGCACGCCAGCUCUUCACAUUUAACACAACCAACUACUUCAAUACAACCUGUGGCAAGAAUAGAGUUUGUUGGAUUUAUUGUAGCAUGCCAUACAGAAAAAUUUAGCAUUUCAGUAAGAAUAAGAAUAAGAGAGCUACUUUCCACUAAAAUACGAAUCACCCAUCAACUGUUGCAAACAGACAACAAUGUGAAUAACAGGUUUUAUAUAUAUAUAUAUAGAGAGAGAGAGAGAGAGAGAGAGAGAGAGAGAUAGAUAGAUAUAGAGAGAGAGAGAGAGUCAAAUAAUAAUAAAGGACAAAAAUAUUUCUUUGAGAAAGACUAAUUAGAAAGAAGAAACAAAGAACCCACAUGAAAUCAAUUUAGAUAAGAGAAAUACCUUUAAGAAUCUAGUUCUUUUUGCAAAUUGCAACUUAGAAUUGGAAUGCCACAUAUUAUUAUAAGGUAUCACAAGAGAUUAUUGCUUCAUUUUUUUUCUUUGCCAGAUCAGUUUUAAUAAAUAUAAAUAUAAAAAUAUAAGCAUGUACACACACACACGCAAACACAUUAUGUGUGUAUGUUUAUGGAUAUGUAGAUAUAGGUUUUUAAUAAUAGAGCAUGAAAACAUAUCUAGUCAGAAAUUCCAAAAAUCCAAAACCAUUAGCAACACCUAACAGUCUUGAAACUGGGUAAUGUUCUGGAAACUUGAGGUCUGCUAUCCCAUUCACAGCAUAGAUCUCCCUGUAGAAAUUCUCCAUUGCUUUGAUUGUGUCUGAAUCUGGGACCUUACUAGCAGCAUGAAUCCAGAGUCGGCCUUCAUAAAACAAAACAUGUAUAUUAAGAAAUAUCCUUGUAGAACAGUAACAUUUUUGCCAGCAUGCAAUUCGUGUUAAUAAUCCUUGGUUCUCACCACUCAUUGUACAUUACAAUGUAAAGACCUAAUAAGCCCUAAUAUAGGUAGGUGUCUGUGCAGAGAGAGAGAGAGAGAGAGGGGAGGGGGGUGAAAGGAAAGAUGAUUAUAGAACAAAUACAAGUUGAAUCUCCUGAAAUAAUGUCCAUCAAGUUAUUUCCUAGCAACAAGUACUGAUUAUGCUUUUCCUGAUAACAUGAUUUUCUUUGCUAACAACCAUACUAUAUUUUAUCAAGAAAGAGUAGUGCAUGUGGCGUGCAUCAAGACCCAUUAGAGUUCCGCUAAACCUAUAGUUCUGUCAACGUUAUCAUUUACGUUUCCUCUAGAUAAUGGCAUUUUCCUCUAAAACUCUUGCACCAUUAGGCUUCAAGUCAAAAUUUCACAUGUGAACUUUGGAAAUUUUCUCCAUUUGCCCCUAAGGAUACAGUUAGAAUUGACUUAAAAUCCUGAUUGAUGUAUACUUUUAACCGAAGAAUAUUGUAUAUAAUAAUUGAAAUAUUGUUGAUUCAUCGUGGAAAUACAUUUUGUAAGGAAAGUUGUUAAGAAUUUAGUAUGCUAUAUGGAGAAAAAAGUCAUGACUUAAGGUUGAGUAUGUAUAUUCUAUAUCAAAUAUUAGGUAGGAAUGUGGAAAAGAGCAGAGUGUAAUUAUAAGAAACAAAGAAAUAUAAGAUAUUCUUGAAAGUGGAAAAUGUAAAAUGGCUAAAAGUCAAAUUUAUGAUGCAUAAGGGGGAUCAUGUCACAUAAGAAACUCAUGGCAUACCAAAUACGUGUGGUAUGGAGUAACAAUUUUGUUAAAAUAAGUUUCUCGUUGGAGUACAUUAGGUGACAAUUUUUUAAUAUCAAAUUAAAGAGUCAAGUGCAUCAAUGAAGUCAUAUGUAGAAAAUUUGUUUGUGACAUGUACCAUAAAGAUAAGAUUGACUUGAUAUAAUUUAGUCCAGGUAGGAGUUGUUAAAGGUGUCUCAAAUUUCUAAUUGAUAUAUAUUUUUUUCUAAAAAAAUAUUAUAUAGAUAUUUCAAUAAAUGAUUAAUUCUUUGUAAAAAUACUUACAUAAUAAAAAACAUCAUUAGAAAUAUCUCUAUAAAUAUUUUAAAUCACAAAAAGAAAAAAAAAAUCACUAUGAGAUAAUUAUAAACAUGCAACAUUGUACCAAGUAAACAGAAAUGUGAUAAAAAAAUUUUGAGAAACACUAAAUAAAGGAAGGGCUUGUAUAUCAAGAUGUAAAUAUAGAGAGCAAUAUUUUUAAUCAUAUGAUAGAAUUAUUUUCUCUCAUUCAUGAUUAUAAGCAAAAUUGGGAACCAUUAUAAAAUCUUGUACACCUCGUGUAAAUUGAUGUUUGUCUUCAUAUUUUACACCAACAAAUGACAUUGAAGUUGUCAUUGAUAAAAGGGAAAAGGCAUGGCCUCCACACCAUGUGCUUGAAUCGUAUGGUUCAAGUUUAAAGAAUUUUCUCCAUAAUUUGAAGAUCUAAAACAUUUUCACCUUUAAAUUUCAUUUAAUUAUUAAUAUCUACAAAAAAUAGUUAAAUACUCUUUCUAUUUUUGAGUUGUUGAAUUUUUUGAAAGUUUUUAUAUUUGUUAUCAAGAAUUUAUAUUUUAUUAAGUGUGAAUAUUUAUAAAUAAGAUAUUAUAUAAUAUUUGGAUAAGAGAGAAUGGUGGAAUAUAAUAAAGUUUUAAUCCUUCCCAAUUUUUAUCUUUUUUUUUUUUUUUUUUUAUAAUCGCCUUUCUCUUUCAAUCCUAUUAUCAGGUACCUUAUAUUUGCUGAUGCUAUCUGGAACUAAAUUCCAAUCAGACAUUGUCCAAUUACUAAUAGGACAGAUCAUGUCUCUCUGUUUCUAAACUAACAUGUAUCGUAAUGUGGCCUCAUAAGGAAGGCUAGGAAGAUGGAGGAUUUUGUGGGAAGCGACCAGAAUCAGAUGGAAGAGAGAUAGCCCUGUUGACCUAAUGGCUGUAAUAGGAGAAGCGUGUGGAUUUAUGGGACUUAACUGAUACUAAACCUAUAUGAUGCUUGGAGUGGUGUUUCUUUCAUUUUGUUAAGAAAAUAUGGCAGCAUACAUCCUUUCAAUUGAGUGCAUCAGAGCAUCCAUAAUAGAUGGUCUGCAACCCUAGGUGCAUGCCACUUUCUGACUGAUAAUGAAACUGUCAGGUACUUGGCCUUGACUAAGCUCAACAGCAUCACAUAAAAAGAAGCUUUCAUACUUAGAUUACUGUUUAAAGCUUUUGCUUAUUUGCUUUCUUAAUGCCAUUAUGACAUUAUUGUUUCAAUUCUGCUACCGAUUUUCGAAGUUCUGGGCAUCUACUGAUUGCAUCAUUAUAUGAGAAGUUGCAUGAGUUUAUGUAUCCUGUUAUUGCUCCUUUGCGAUUUCACUGCUCACGGGACUAACCUCUCCAUUCAGUCGAAAUGAAUUGUAAUUUCUUUACUGGUAGCAGUAGUACUUUUCAUAGCAAAGAUAAUAGUAAAUAUGAAAUAUAAAUAGAAGGAAAUCUGAAUUGUAGAUGGCACUAUAAGUAACACUCAAUAUUCACUACAUAAUAAAAUAGACAGUGUUACAAAGGUAGAGAAACCUACAAUGAGUACUCAUCACCAUUCUCAAACAGAAACAUAGCAGCGACUUAUACAUAGAACCUAUAGGCUUGCAGGGAAAGAAGGGAAAGAGUAACAUGAUAAGUUCACAGCGGGUAGCAGCUCUUAUUUUACGUAUUACUCAAAAUCUCAAACUAACCAAAGUCACUCAGUUGGGAUGGGUAGGAGAUGGUGGUUUGUGGGGUGGCUUCUGGGUAGGAGCUGGUGGCUUCUUUGUUGGAGUUGAAGGAGGCGUAAUCUUCUGAGGUGGCUUGUAUGAGUCUUCGGCACUCUCUGCAGGAGGGUGCCCAGGGUUGUGACCGGAAGGAGGUGGCUUCUGUCCCUUUGGUGGUUUGCCUAAUGGGCUUGGUGGCUUGUGCUCCGGGAGUUGUUUCUCUCCCUCGAGUAGGUUUCGAGUUUUGUCAGAUGGCUUGUGUUCUGGUGGUGGCUUCUCUCCCUGGGGUGGUUUGCCGAAUGGGCUUGGUGGCUUGUGUUCGGGGAGUGGCUUCUCUCCCUGGAGAAGGUUACGAGUUUUGUCAGAUGGCUUUUGUUCUGGUGGUGGCUUCUCUCCCUGGGGUGGUUUGCCAAAUGGG